CCAAAUCCAAAAAUGUUAAAAAUAAAUUGAUGUUAAACAAAAUUUACAAAAAAGAUAAAUGUGAGAAAAUUAUUAUGGAAAAAAAAAAUCAAAAGCAACUUGAAGAAGAGACAAUUUUACUGCUAUUCGUGGUCAUUCAAAUAGUCUCCUCUUCUUUAAAUUGAUUAUUUUUGAAAUGACAUGUUCAUUCAUGAAGUAAUACAAUUCUGGAUCAAUUGUCACAUUCUAUUUAUUCUAACAUUUUAUGUUGCUUAUUUUAACUUAGUUAGUGGAUAAAAAUAUAGAGGAUCGUCCCAAAUAUCAAAAUUCAUUUUUUCUAUCUUAAAAAAAGAAACUAGAACUUUUGUUAAAGAAAGAAAAAAAAAAUCAAAUAUAGUGAAAAUUUCAACUUUUUAUCUCCACUUUUGUCUUUUGUCUUUUAAACUUUAGAAAAGAACUUAUUGAUAUAUUCUUAAGUUUUAAAAAAGGUUUAAUAGACUACUAAACUUCCCAAAUUUUAUCAAUUUAAGGUAAAGGGAUCCUAAUUAGUGACUCAAAAUAUUUUUAAAUCACAUAUCUACUAACAUAAAAAUAAAUAAUCUUUCAAAAAUAUAUUCAAAACCAUAUAUAAUAGUGAAAGAGGUUGUAACAAAUCUCUGGAUGUAGUCCUUUCCAUGGUUGAACCUAUAGUAUGAUAUAGAAUUAAAAGUUAAAAAGAAUUAUUACACAAAUAUUAAAUAUAAUAGGGCACAAAAUUAAAGAUUAUCCACUCUAAUCAAACAUUUUAGAAACUAUUACCCUCUUUUAACUUUAUUGUAAAACAGAAAACAAUGAUAUAUAUUUGUAAUAAUAACAAUGUUUUUGUAUUAUUAAUUUUUUAAUUGAGGAAAAGUAAUAUAUAUUUGUUAACAUUUAGAAAGGUGAAAAAAUUGUUUAGACUUUUAUGAAUAGAUCAAACAAUAGAAGAUGCAAUGGUUGGUCUCUCAAACUACAUACAAAAUUUCUAUUUAUCUUUAUACUUUGAUUGUUUCCUUUAUAUAUUCACUUAUUCGAUCUUGUUGGCUUCUUAACGACAAGUCCGAAUAUUUUUAUUUGGAGCCAUAUAUUCCAUGCAUUUAAACACCAUAACUUUAUAUUAUUGUUGAUUCUAAAUUCCCAUCUUGUAAACAGAAAUUUAUAUUCAAGAAGAAUGUUUUCUUUUAAAUACUAUAUUUUGUUAUCUGUGUGUGAUUUAAAAUUUCAAACUAUAUAUUAAUCUUAGAAAGAAAGUUGAAUUACAAAAAUCAUCCAUACAAUAUUAUUGUAUUCGUAAUUAUACACCCAAAUUUGAUUUUUAAAAAAACAGUCUUUUAUCACAUUAAAACCAACCCUAACUUAUAUAGGUUAAUCCAAACUCAAUUUUUAUAAUUAAGAAAUCAACCCAAAGUGGUUUUGUAAUUUGUCAAAUUUUAUAUUUAGUCCUCUAAUUAAGUUUUAUCAAAUUGGUUUGACAAUGAUAAUAACAAUAAUAAUUCAACAUCUUAUUAGAAAAACUGCAAAAAUGAUUAAUAGAUCAAACAAUAAAAAAAUGAAUAUAAUUGAUUCAUUUUUUUCAGCAAAUUAGAGAAUGGGAUACAACAAUACAAAAUCUCAUUCCCCAACAUAUAUAAACACAAGUUCCAACCAAGAUGAAAAUAUUAAAAUAUACAUCUUGAUAUGAUGAACAUAAUGGCAGCAGUUCCACUCCUUAUAAAAAUACAUCUCAUAUAUAAUUAAAAUUAUGGGACAAACCCCAAUUUUGCCCUAUACCAUUACACAACCAAAAGCCAAACCAACACUUUAUUUGCCACGUGGAAAAUGACGUGUCAAGAGACUCUUUAGGUGGCUUCCAAACUUCCAAACUUCCAAACAUAUAUUCCACACACUAAUAUUUUAACACACAACUCUAUCCCAUCCCAUGCAUCAUAUUGCCUAAUUUUUAUCCCAUAUUUCCUUACUCUUUCUUCUCCUCUGCGGCUUCAUCUUUCUUCUCAUCUUCUUCCUCUGCCUCCUCUGAUACUACAGCUUUGGCUUCCGGUACGACCGAUGACUCGUCGGGUUUGUCGUUUUCUUCCUUGGCUACUUCUGCAGCUUCUUCAUUAUAUUCUAAUUCCUCGACCUCGUCAUCAUCUGUUAGAAUAACAACCUCAUCUUCCUCCUCUUCCUCUUCAGCCGUUGCUUCAACUUUUUCAUUUGGAACAACGGCUUCUGAAUCAUCUGACGAUUUUUCAUCAACAACUUCGUCAACUUUAACACUCUCUUCUUUUUCUUCUACGUUCUCUUUUGAUGUCGUGUCUGGUGACGAUUGUUCCUCGACUUCUUCUUUUGUGACCGUCUCUUUAACAGUCGUCGUGUCUUCUAAGAGAGUGGCAUUCGGAGAUACGAUCUGCAAGUUAUCAUAGUAAUUUCUUACGAGAGACGAAGCUAGAAACUUAAAAGGAAAAAAAAAGGCUUACUAUAUACUAUAGUUAUUGCUAUCUAAUAUCAUAUAUAUAUCACAGUUAAAAUUAUCACAAUCAAUUAAUUUUUUUACUUUUUAAAUAACUAUAAAUUUAAUCUUUUAUUAGCAUGAAGAAAAGAAGUUAAUUGAAAAAAAAAAAUAUCUAGAUCAGUAUUUCGUCUAAAAACUCAUGUUAUAUUUUCAAAAGGUUCAUUUUCUAAGUUUCAAAAUUCUAAAUACAUUUCUUGAGAACAGACUCAUAAGGCAAUUAAAAAAAGAUGCAAUUGCACCCUUCUUUUCCUAGAAAAAUUAUUCAAGAAGGUUGUUACUUAAUUAUUAUUAGGGGUACGCAAAUUUUUUAAUUUUAUAUCCAAAGCGUGGUUUAUAUACAUACGUUACUUUGGACAAUCUGAUUGAAUAAUUUUUUUCUCUUACACAAAUACGUAUAUGAAUGGAGAGAUGUAAAACGUGAUGCAUAUUCGAACUGUAAAGAAAGUAAAAAGUGAAAGAAUAUUACUGAGAUACCUCAACGGUGGCCAUGGAAAUAGCUUCUUAGGGAGUAUGAAAGAAGUGCUUAAGAAAUUAAAGGGGGAAGAAGAAGCUAAGGGAAAAGACAGAAAAUGUAAUGUGUGAAACUUUAUGGACCUAAGAGUUGGCUUUAUAUACACAAAUCCAAAUAGCUUUAGCUUAUUAAUUAUAAAAUUAAAAUAAGAUACAUUUAGACAGAGAAAAUUAUAAAACGUUGAAAAUAUUAAAAAAAAACUACACCAGCUGUGUAUUCAAAUAUUGUUGUUGUUAUUAUUAUCAUACGUUAGAUUUGUGAUUUAUACUUUUGCGAUUAGGGAGAGAACAUUUGGCUAGAACUUUAGUUAAAACAUGCAUUAACAUGGUGAUUAAUAUUUAGUUUAAACUUUUGAUGUUUGUUUUAAUUACAUCUUUAAUAUGAUUUUUGUUUAGGUUUAAUUCUAUUCAAAUUUUCUUUUGGUAAAAAUUUGGUAUGGAUGUCAAUCUUAGUUUGACUAUGAAUUGCAGGUAAAUGAUUUGAUUUUUCACUUAUAAUUACUGAUUUUAUAAAAAUUAUUUUUUAAUAAAACAAGUCGAGACUUGGAGAAAUGUCAAUUGUCAUUGAGUCAUGCGAUUUGACAACGCAUCAAAUAAAACAUUUCUUAGAACAAUAUGGGUGGAGGAAUACAAACUUCCAAUCUUUUUAAAUAUCACUAGCAUAUAUUAUAUGUCACUUAAGUUAUGUUUUUCUUUAAUUGUAUGUGAAAUUUGUACAUGCAAUCAUGUGAAAAAGUAAAAAUAUUGUUGUUUUAGGCCCCAAAAUUAACAUAUACAUUUAAAAACAUAUACUUUUUCGAUGAAGGUGCUAAAGGGAUCUACCUAGUAGAGAUGUUCGGUUAUACAUUCUGACCCAUCGUAUUUUAUUACAAAGUAUUUCUAAGCUCAAGUUAAAAAAGUUGGAUUGCUAUUAAUGACGAAUUUACGUAGGGGUCAGCGGGAAACAUGUCCCCUCGCAAUAUUGGUUUUUGAACGUUAGUGUUAACUUUGAAGUGUGAGAUUAUAAAAUAUAUUAAAUAAUGCUUUGUUUUAAACAAAAUAUGUCCUAUAUAAAAUUUCUAGAUCUAUCACUUGUCACAAUGAAAUUCAAACAUGCUUCUUUUAAAGAAUAUUAAUACACAAAUUCAAGAAGGAAUCUACUCCUAACGUAGAUAUUCAAAUUUCUAGGUUUACUAUAGAAUGAUUUUAAUGAGACAAAUUAGUUAACAUAAUUUAGCAACUAAAAAACAUAUUUUAACCAAUAAUCAUACUAACAAGAAAAUACAUCAUUAGUAUAUUUUUCUAAAAUUCCUCAAGUUUAUUUGUUAGCAUUAGGAUUAGACUAUAUGUUGGAGGGUCCAUUUUCCAACCUAUCAAUUAGUUGGAUACGACUUCUAUAAUUUGUGGGGUUCCAUUCAUGACAAUGCUACUCUUAUCAUCUUUUCAUUCAUUUAAUAUUUAAUUCAUCCAUCAACUUUUCUUUUGAUUUUCUAAUUCAUCCAUCAAUUAAUUUUAAGUUGAAAUAUUAAGUAUAUAUAAUUGUUUUUCUUUUCUCUUAUAUUAAAUAAUAAUUAUCAUCAAUUUUAUCAUUAUUGUCAACCCAAUAAAGUUGGCUUUUUGAAGUUGAAACUAAAAUGUCUUAAAUAAAAUAAAGAAUGGACAUGCACUUUCAUUCUUCUUUUCUUAUAUUAAAAUAAAUCAAUUAUUGGAUUUUUGGAUUUGUGACAUACAUUUUCUUCACAGCAUUAAUGAAUCAUCCAACAUAUAUCUAAUCUAUAAUAAUAUGGAUAAUUAAAGAACCAAAGAAGUCACAAUUUAAACUAAAUUCACAUUAUUGUGGAUUCCAAUGAGUGAGUUUAUAAUUGAAGGCUUCAUUUGAUCAAUCUCGUCACCAAAAAAACAAAACAAUAUAUAUAUAGUAAUCAAAAUUUGUGAUUAUAUUCAUUUGAAAGUACAUUAAAAUUAAAACUCUAAAUUAGUCCAUUUGUACUUUUAGAGAGCUCGAGCUCUUGAUGAAAAGUAAAAUGUUAAAUUAUUUAAUUUCCCUUCUUUUUCACAAUUCAUAACUAUCUCUCAAGUGUAAACUUUCUUUUAGAAUUUUUAUAGCAAAAUUAUUUUCAAGUUGUAUAAUACAAUAUUAUUAAAACUUUUUUAAAUAAUGUGAAUACUUUUAGAACAUUGAAGAAUCUUGAAGUAUUUUCUAUCCUUUAGUAAAAAUAAACUAUUAUUGUCUAUGUGUUUUGUUAGAUUGAUAAAUUAAUUUAAAUAGUUUUUAUAUUCAAUAUAAUUUUGUUUAAAAAUAUCCCAUCACUUCAACAUUAUAUAAUAUUUUCAUCGACAUCUUUUGUAAUGAGAUAUCUACAGUUAGAUUAAGAUGGACAUUUUAAAAUUUGAAUGGUGAGUUAUUUGUUCAUUUGUUGAAUAAUGCCUCUUUGGUGUAAGAAGAGGGCAUUAAAGAAGAAUGUAAUUCCAUUUUCUCAAUAUUAUGGAUAAUGACCCUUGGUAUACAAGCAGGGUUCUUCAAUUGUUACAUUAGUUUUGCCCCAUUGAUCAUGAGCACGUGGUUUCCAAAUUUGGAAGGACCUACCAAAUUGAGACUCGAUGUGUAUGUGGAAUCUAUCGACCAAUAAUUUGUUGACACAUUUUAUUUAAUAUCUAUAUGGAAUAUAAGUUAAGAGUUUAUUUAAAGUUGUAUAUUUUCAGAUUUAGUUUUAAAUUUUUGUUAUUAGUAUUGAGAUUUAUGCAAAUGAUAAUGUUUUCACAUAAUUCGGACAUAUAUUUAACUUUUCCUCUUUUAAAUAAUCAAAGAGAUGUAUGGACAUCAAAGAUGUGAGACUUCUUUUAUGAUUAAAUAAUGAAAAAUAAAUAACCUUUUAUUUUUUUAUACGUUUUUAUAAUUAAAUUAAAGAAGCUAAAAAAAGGUUUUCAAUUGGUAAAAACACUUUGUAUGGUCUUUCUAACUUGUUGAUAAGACAGUGGAAAGAAAUUGCAAAAUAGAAUUUAUAAAAAUAAACGUAUAUAAAAAAUAAAAAAGUUAUUUCUUUUUCAUGCAAGUGCAAUUAUUUCCACCUUCAGCUUAUUCACAAAAGAAAACCAAUAUGCAUGAACCUCUUUGGUAGAAAUCCAUAAAGCUUUCCACUAUAUAUUCAUUAUUAAUCCUCGCGAUGGACGAAGAAAUCCUCCGAUCGAAAUUGUGAAAUCGUGAAGUUUUCUACUGCACAUUCAUCCAAAACCUCGCGAUGGAAGAAGAAAUCGUUCGAUCAAAAACCAUGAAUUUGUGAAAAGCCAUGAAACGAGCAAAACCUCGAAUAUGAAUGAUAGAGUCUUCAAAUUUCUGAAAGUAAACAAGGAAAAUUUUCAAAUAAAGGAGGUAAUGGGGUUUCAACUUCAUGUGUGGCAAUUUAAAAUUUUAGAUUUUUUUUCUCAUUUUUCUUUUUUAAAAACGUAUCAAAUGGUUUAAAUAAAACGGUCCACCAAUAUAUUUUUCUAAACGUAUAAUAUACCAACAUACUAUCUAAAAAAUAUAGUAUCAAAUGAUCAAAUCAGAUAUAUUGAAAAUAUUGCAUGUACGACCAUAUACUUUACUAUAAAACUUAUUUAAUUCGUUAUUUCGAAAGAAAAAAAGAUUGAAUAAAUAAAGAAGACUUCUCCAAAUUUGCAAUUUUCCUCCAAUUCACCAAUAUAUAGAGAAUGGGUUUUUCUUUAGUUCAAGCAAAAGGCCCACCAUGUCUUCUUAACCUCACUAAAAUUUGGGCUUAUAUAUUGACAUAUUCAAGCCCAUUAAUCAACUAUAGUUCCUCUUUUCCUUUCUUUUUCCAUAAUUUAUUUUAAAUAGAUUUUAAUAAAAAGGACACACAUUGUUUAGAGAAGAAUAUGAUAAUCGUGGAUUUAUUAAGGGGCCAAAAGAGGCACGUGUCUCCUUAUAUUAUCGGUUUUUGUAUUUUAAUAUUAAUUUUGAAGUGUCAUAUUAUAAUAUUUUAUUUUAUCCAAAUUUUGAUUCUAAUGUAGCGACUGUGCUUUCAUUGCAAAACCACCCGCUCAAGACUCCAAAUAUCAAUUUUAUUGACAAAUUUCAAUAACGUCAUAAAAAUAAUUUUUUAAAAAGAGAAACAAAACCGUGACUUAUUUUCUAGUCGUCGUUUGUUAUCUAAUAAAUAUUUUUAAAAAAAUGCAACUAAAUUAGUGAUCUAAAUUUCUACUCUCCUAACAAUAUUCCAUAAAAAAAUUAUUAUUCUUUUCUUUUUUUUCUUUUCCUUUUUUUGAUGCAAUUUUUAAAUUCACACUUACAUUACAAAAAAAUAUAUAAAAAUUGCUAGUCGAAAAAUAUAUGAAAAUUGCUAGUUUUUUCUUUAUUGCUACAAAUAUACUAGUGAAUGUUAUUAAAGCAUCAGUGAAACGUCGAUAUAUUUUUUAAACACUUUUUAAUGUGUUUAUUAUAUAGUGCCUAGUGCUUUUCUAUAUAAAAUUUCUACGUCAACAUUGAAUAAGAUUGGAUGAAAGUAUGAAAGAUAAACAAAUAACUUAUUUCAUUAAAUUAUUGAAGAUAUUAAAGAGAAUUAUAUUUUACUAAGACUUGGUAGGGCUCAAAUGUGAGAAUGAGGAUUAGAUGAUUCUAAGAUUUGAUCUUUUAUUUAUUAUUUUCUUUUAGUUUUGAACAUUAUUUUAAAUAAGUUGUUUUAGUUUUGAGUUAAGAAAUAUUAUAUUAGUUGCUUAUAUUUUUUUUUAUUAAAAAAAUGGUUAAUUAGCAUGAAAAUAGAUAAUACCAAAUCACGUGUCAUAUAUGUAAGCAUAAAAAAUUUAGUAUUUGAAACGUAUUUGUUAUAUUUUUAGUACAAUAAUUAUACGGUUGGAGGAUUAUGCAAAUUACUUAAAUUCAUUUUGACGUCAUUAUGUAGAGAUACAUCAUCAUGCAUAUUUGAAACUUUCACAAUUUUGUAACGGAUGUUACUCAAUAUUUUGUUAGUACUAAUAUUACUUUAUUUAAAUAUUUAUUCUAUAUUUAUAUAAAUAUUAAAUUAUUUAGUCUCUAAUAUGUUAAACAAAAUUAUGAACUUUCCAUUUUACAUACAAUGGGUUUCACAAAAAAAAAAAAUUUAAAUUUGAUAUACAAUUGAAUCUUGAAAAUUUCAAUUUAGUAAGUAAUUAGUUUUAACUUUUUUGAAAAACCAUCAAAUGUUUGAAUUAUUAGAUGACACAAAGCUAAAAUAUAUAAUAGAAGAUAUAGUUUUUUGAAUUGAAUUUGUUUAUAAAUCAAAUUUGUAAGAAACAUAUUCAUAUAAACUUGAAACUUGAAAGCACGAAAACAAAUGAAACUAUAUGGAAUUGUGUAGUAGUUUAACGUAAUAGUUGACCGUUUCAAAAGAAAGAAAGAAAAAGGAAAAAGUUAGAAAGAAGACAGGGAGAGCGAGGAAGAAGAAGAAGCUUCUGCAACUUCCUAGACUAAAGUCGUCAAACGGGUAUUCUUUGCUUUCAAUUCAAAUUUUAAACACAAAGAUUUACAAUAAUAAUGCCCCCGCAAUUCUCUGCGCUAAUUCCCCCUCCCCCGCUUUGAAUUUUUCAAAUCCCACAUUCUUUCUCUCUUCCUUUUUCCAAAAACAAUCUAUCCAAUCCAUUUCUUUCUUUUUGCUCCCUCUUUCGAGCAUUUCGGAUCACCACAUAGCUCUCUCUCUCUCUCUCUCUCUCUCUUUUGGUUUGAACUUCAAACCUCAUAGUUUAAUUCAACGCCCAUUUCCUGUUUUCCCCUCUGUUGACGGUUUUUCUCGUUCUGCUUCUUCUUCAUUUCGCUUCUUUUCCUCUUUUCCCUUUCUGGGUUUUGUUCGUAUCUACACCACAAAGAAGAAACCCACCCCUGUUUUCGUCCCCUUCUUUCAAUUUCUUUACUGGGUUUUCUCAUAUGGGAUUGAAUCAGUAAUUAGUGCUCUCUAUAUGAUCUAGCUCGUGGGGUUUUCUUCUUUCUGGAUUUUCUUUUGUUUCUUUGUCUUGGUGUAACCCUUUUAAUGUCUUUGGCUGUUGGGGCUGCCUCAAAUUCCAAGAACAUGGGGUUUGAUGAGAAUCGUGAGGAGGGAGGUGCAUUGGAUAACCAUGGGAAUGAGAAUGAAGCUACUGAGAAGAUUUCAAGGCAAAUGAGUGAAACUUCUCUCUCUGCAACUGAGGAUGAGACUGAUGAUGAAGGAAGUAAUAUUGAGUUGGGGCCUCAACGCACAUUGAAAGAAGAGCUUGAAAAAGAUAAGGUUAAUCUUUGUUCUUGUUUCUCACAUUUGAUUCGAGAUUGUAUUGUAAUAAGUUUUCUUUGUGCUUGUCAAGUGUAUAACUAUUGUUUCUGUUGUUUUGUGGUAUGUAAGUUUAGGAUGAUGAGAGUCUUAGGAGGUGGAAGGAGCAGCUUCUUGGAGCUGUGGAUUUAGAAAAUGCUGGAGGUAAUUAUAAUUUAAAAUUCUUCCUAGUUUUGUAGAUUGAUUUCACUUUCUUUGAUCAUUUCAAAAUUUAGUGUUUGGUUCUGAAAUGCUUCUAUGGAAUUAUCUUGGGGUAUUUGCAGCCAUGUUUUUCCCUUAAAAGAGAAAGUUGUUAUUGUAUCUCUUCUUUUUGGUUUUGUUUUUCAGUUCCAUUUCUUAUGUAUUUUGUAGAAACUCUUGAGCCAGAGGUGAAGAUUCUAAGUCUUUCAAUAGUGUCUCCAGAGAGACCAGAUUUAGUUCUUCCCAUUCCCGAGGACGGGAAUCCAAAAGGAUUGUGGUUUACCCUAAAAGAAGGCAGCCGUUACAGCCUGAAAUUCUCCUUCCAAGUGACUAACAACAUUGUUGCUGGCCUCAAGUACACCAACACUGUUUGGAAAACUGGUGUCAAAGGUUUUUUUCUCUAUCUGAUUCGCCUCUUCGUUAAUAUAAGUUCGUGUUUCGAUUGCCUGACUGAUGAUGACUUUUGUAAUCUUGUAUGUUUCAGUUGAUAGCGCCAAAGAGAUGCUUGGAACUUUCAGUCCCCAGCUAGAGACCUACACUCAUGUAAUGCCAGAGGAUACCACACCCUCCGGCAUGUUCGCCCGUGGAUCGUAUUCAGCAAGAUCUAAGGUCAGUUUGUUUUUUUUUAAACACUAGAAGUCCUCUGACGUUGUCACUUAACAAUGCCUAAGGCUCUAGCAUUUUCAAGUGGGGUAGUGUUUGGUUUUUUCUCCUUAUUCCACAUAUCAUAACCUCUUGGGCAUAGUUUGAAAGAUGCCAACUUCCGAGGAAUCAUCGGUAAUACACAUGACAUCAUCUGGUUUUAAGAGAACAAUCUAUGGCGCCAUAACAUUGAUAUUCCUUUGUCUGCAUAGUCAAAUGAGUUCUAACUUCUCUAGGGCUCUCAAACUAGAAUCAAUAUUCAAUUCCCGAUUUUCAACCGAACGAAGCUAUAAGCAUAACCCAUAAAUUUCUUUAACCUUUCCAAGCUAUAUCUAACUCUAUUUUGAUGAUAUUUUUUCCCAGCUAGCAUGAAACUAAGCAUCAUUGAGGUUCCUUUUUGAUUUCCAUGCAAUAAUAGCUACAGUGCUUAAAAACAAAGAACCCUUUUACCAUUCUCAUAAUUAAAGAAGUUUUACAUUAUUCCCAUCCCAAGUCUUCAUUGCUGUCCAAAUCACGUGGCCCAUUAAGUCCAUUAAUUGAUUCCUGUUGUGCUGGCUGGCCUUUCUUUCCUAAGGGACAUGGCCCAUGUUCUUCUGUAUAACAUAUGCUUUACAAAAUGUGUACUUUCAUCUUGAAUGUUUUCUGAAUUCCCCCUCUUCUAAAUCAAAAUCAUCACCACCUUGCAUAAAAAAAAAAAAAAAAAGCAAAGCCCUUUCUUUUCCAUGACUUGACUGUUCUUUUGACAAACCUUCUUCUCGAAAACCUUCCUUGUUCCCAUAAUUUUUCUUUUAAUGAAUACCCUUUCAUUCCACGAUGAAGUUCAUCAAAAUCAGAAACAAAUGACAGAUCUAUUCAGUCUCUUUCAAACGGAUCCUCCCCCUCUCCCUGCAUUUAUCAAGCUCAAUAAAGGGUUAGAUACAAAAAUAUUCAACUUCCAAACUGAACUUUUAUUUCUCUCAUCAGAAAAAUGAGGAUUCUCUCCAUUGUGCUAGCUUCAUAUCGUGCAUAAAAACGAAGUAGCAUUUGCCUCUAUGUUUGUAUUUGUAGUUGUAAAUGAAUUGUAAAUCUUUUUGUGUAUGGCAGUUUCUUGAUGAUGAUAACAAGUGUUACUUGGAAAUUAACUACACAUUUGACAUCAGAAAGGACUGGGCAGCAACAUAAAGGCAAUGAUUUGUGGGCAUUAGGAGCAGUGCUGCGUUCUUGGCUUAAGCAAUCAAAUCCCCAUCAUCCAGCUGAUUAGCUGAUGUUCUGAAAACUGCCAAUUUUAGUAAAUUAAUGUCUUUUAAUUACAUGUAAUUAUAAUUAAGGCCAACAAAUAUUAUGUUAAUUACUAGGUUUACGCUGCAUCCAAACUCUUGCAAGUUUUCAAUGUAUUGGGAUGUUGGAGAAGGAGAUGAAUGAACGGGGAAAAAAAGGAAUAUAUUGAGAUAUCUUGUUUGAUGGCCCCUCUAAUAAAAGGUGUGUUUGGCCUUCCACCUUUUUUUUACCCAUUUUCUUUUUUCACAUGUUUGAAUCACAUCAUAUAUAAAAUUACAAAAAAAAAAAAUUAUAGUUGGGUUGGUGGGCUGGUUUUCUUUUUUCCAUCUUUUGUAAUACAAAAUUUUAUAUUACUUGAACAAAUUGACACAUACAUACAUAUCAAGGUUUUAGGUUUAUAUAGAAUCGGGUUGGGUCAAGUCAAUCCAACUUUUUUUUUUCAAAACUUUCUAAUCCAAUGUAAAAUUGAACCUAACUUUUACCGUCUUUUUUUUUUCAAAACUUUCUAAUCCAAUGUAAAAUUGAACCCAACUUUUACCGUUUAGUUUGAGUAAUCCGAGUUAGUCUCUAAACAAGAAUAUGAGGACUUUAAAAUCGAUUUUUUUUCGAGAUAAAAAUAAAAUAAUCAUUAGGAAAAAAAAAGAAAAAAAGAAAAGAACAAGUGGUGGAGGUAGAGAAGGAAACAGGCUGUGUUGGUUUGGUUGUUUGUGACUAUUUCUGACAGAUUUGAACCCUAAGUGAAAAUUCCAAACAAUCUUAUUUUUAGUCUCUUCUCACCAAUACUAGAUCAUUACCUUUUACCCUCCAUUCCUUUUUUUUCUUCUCUAUAUAUUCAUUCUUCUUUUUCAAAAGUAUAUUAUAUAUAUUGUAUUUAUGAUCAUACUUUAGUUAUCAUAUUAAUGUAUUAAAGCAAAAUAACAAAACAAAAAAUAGACAGUUUAUUAAUAUGGGAAGAUUAAGAGGAAUAGGGCAUAUUCAUUUGUUUAGCUCAAACACCAGCAAAUAUGUUAGAUUCUUCUUGACAUUGCUUCCACAUCUUCCAACCCUCUUCUAUACAUUUUUUAAAUCUUAUUUUACCAACUCUACUUAUUUUAUAAAAUCCCAAAAGGAAAUAAUUUAUUUUAUGUCACAUACUUUAGUUUCAAUCAAAUUUUGGUGUUUUAGGCCAAUUUUCUCCAAACACACAAAUGGAGAGUAAUUAACUAAGUCUUCAUUUUUGUCUCGACUUUUAAUUUUGUUGCUAAGAGCUUUUAAUGUAGUGAAGUUUGUUUUGAUGUCAUCUAAAUGAAUGUCAAUUUUCAUUGUCGAGCUAAACUCGCUUUAAACAUGUAAUUUGUUAUUGAAUCAAACUUACUUUGUUAUCAACCUAUACUUCUUUAAAUAAUUUUUUUAAAAAAAUAUGUUUAUUUUAAAAGAUUAAAAUUAAUAAUUUAAAUGGAUAAGGAUGGAUAUGAACUUUUUUUUCCACUUAAAUAAUAUUCUUCUUAAUUUUAUAAUAGUUUUAAAUGACAAAACUACUAAAAAUAUUUAUAAAGGUAAAUAUAUAAAAGUUUUGUCCAUCAAUAAUAGAUUUUGAUAGAACAUUACUAAAAUUUUACUGUCUAUUAAAGUUUAUCACUAAUUAACCAUAAAAUUUUGCUAUAUUUGUUAAUAUUUUUUAUUCAUAAACUAUUGAAAAUGACAUAAAAAAUUUUAAGAUGAAACAUUUCAAAGUUGGAAGAUAUUUUUAAAACAAAAUCUGAUUUUCAACCAAACUUGUAAUUUGGAGUUUUUCUUUUUAAAAGAAGUUUAAAGAGUUUUUUAUUUUGAAAUUUUAGGAGUAAUUUCAUAACAAAAUAUUGAAAAAUUAUGAUAAAAUUUCAGAUUCUAUCCUACAUUGAGCUUAUUCUCGGUUAUAACUUUGAUUUAUAUUGUUAUAUUUGAGAAUAACCACAAAGUAUUGGGUCAAAUUUAAGCCUAUUUAUUAUUACUAAAUCUAACGAUUAUAAGAAGAAGCAAUUUGUUUUCCACCUAUAUGAAAAAGGAAAACAAUAUAAUGCAUCACUUUCUUGGGAAAAUGAAAAAUUCUUAAUAGUAACAUUAGGGUACACCGACACAUUAUUCAAACUCUUCUAAAACACAUCUCUAUCUCUUUAAAUUCAUAUAUAGUUUAAAAAAUAACUUUACUAAUUUCGAUUUCACACAAAAACAAUCUUUAUUUACAAGUAAUCAAACCCUAAAUUACAAUUUUGGUUUAAAAAAAUAUUAUAGUCAUACAUCAAUAACAUAACAUAUAAUGCGAUAAUAAAACAACUUAAUUUAUCUAUAUCUGAAUUAAUUGAAAGUAUAUAUUAAUUAUUAGUAGUGAGACAUAUGUAUGUGAAAUUGGAUUUAAGAGUUUAAAAUAAGUUGAAAUUAGGUUGUUGUAGUAGUCUGUUAGGACUCUAAUUGGAUUACUUAAUUACACAAACUAAUAUUGAAAUUGAUGAUGUUAUUAAUUUCUUAUAUACAAAUUUAUUAUCCCAACACACAACAAAGAGUCAUAUAUGGAACAUGAAAAAAGCAAGAUAAAAAUGAAUGAGGCAGUUAAUGAGAUUUAAAAUGAGUAAUAUUGAGAAAAUGAAAAGACAUGAGAGAUGAUUUGAUACAUAUGAAAUAGAAAUUGUUUCCAAAUCAAUGAUUAAUAGUUAAUAGGAUGGAUGGAAUUAUUAAAAUGGGGAUUUAAUUUGGGAGGUAUGGGAUCAAUGAUUAAAUAAGGGUGUGGGUUAAUGGGUCACAACUUCUUCUUCCCAUCCUAUUUCCUUCCUCAAAAACACAUCAUUUUAAUUAAUUAGCUGGCUAAAUUAUAAAAUUAUAAAAUUAAGUAAUUAACUAAUUGAAUAAAAAAAAAAAAGAAAAGAAAAAGAGAUUUGAUAAUCACACUUCUCCAAAUAAUAAGCAUAUAAGCAUGAGGUGGCUGUCACCGACGAUUAGGUUGUUCAUAUUUUCUUUCUUCUAAUUAACUCUUCCCCCUAAUUGUCAAAUAUAUAAUUUAAUGGGUUGAAUUCAUAACUUGUUUUAAUUAAAUACCUAAUUGUGUUGGGAAUUAUUUUCAAAUUUAGGGGAAGAGAGAGUGAAUGAAUUUGGAUUAGAAACAACCGUGAUAGAUGGGAACGGCGGAAACAACCGUGAGAGGGCGGGGAGAGGUGGAGGUCGGAGUUCCCUUCAUUUUCAUUUUCUCCUCUCACCAUAUUUUCAUUAAUUUCUCCUUCUCUGGAUCUUUUUCCUUUUUCUUAUAUAAUAAUUUUACCAUUGAGGCCACCACUCUUUCGUGAAUAUAAAAUUCAUAAAUACCAUUAUUAACUUUUACUUCCUCACCUCCUUUUAAUAAUAUAUAUAAAAAGGAAAAAUGUCUAUCCCUAUUUAUUAUUAAUAAAAUUUAAGAUUUUGUUAUAUUUUGUCUUUUUUUUUUUAAUCUUUAGUUAUCAAUUUUUAAUGACCCUAAAAAUAUAAAAGGGAAUUAAGUUAAUUCUUAUGUUAUUUUUUUAAAGAACUGCCUUUCUAUUCAUUUGGUAAAGUUUACAAAUGCUGUUGACUUUAGCAAAGAGGAAAAGGAAUGCAACAUUAGUUGUAGUUAUUUUUCUACUUUUCUAUUAAAAUAUACCUUAAGAUCUAACUUAAAUCAACGUUAAGAAAUGUCAAAACAAGGUGACUUUGGUAUUAUUGUUAAAAAAAGAAGGUGAAGAUAACUUGAAUUUAGUUUGAUUGUUAUAUUAUUGAACUAAAAAGGGUUGUUUUUUUUUUGACAAAGUAAAAAAAAUGUUGGAGAUAAUGGAGUUGAUGGGGGGGGUAGAGUGUAAGGUUGGGUUUAGGAGGAAGAAGGAAAAGAAAAGAAAAAAUGAAUUAGUUCAAAUGUGAUUAAGAAAGACUACCCUACAUGUCCCACUUCUUAAGAAAAAGCCUUCCCAAUAAAGUAUGGUUUUUUUAUGUCUAAGGAAGAUCCCAUCUCUUAGUUUAUCACCCAAUUACUGUCUCUCCUUCACCACCUCUUUGCUUUUUCUUCUCCUUUUCUUUAAAUACUUGCUUCUAUUUUCAAUCCUUAUUUGUAUUUCUCAUCUCCUCCUUCCCCAUUAUUUCUCUGUCAGGCCCCCCCUUCUCUCUUCCCUGCCCUGGUCAGUCUCUCUCUCAUUCUUCUCGCUUUUUUUAAUUUUUUUUUUUUUUUUUGCCUUUUUUACAUUUGGGUUUUGCUUCUUAUCACCUCUACUGCAUGCAACUGAUCUAGAUCUGGGUCUUUCUUACUUUUUUUUCUUCUUUUUGGGAUUUGUUUAGUUGGGUUUUGUGGGAAUGUGUGUGGCUGAAAUGCUGAUGGGACAAUUUGCAUUGUUUGCUUGUGUUUGUAUGUCUUUCAAUUUCUUUUUUCUUUUUGGUUUUACUGUUUGAUUUACUUCUCUGGAUCUUAGAAUGUGCUGUUUUCUUGUGUUCUGUGCUUGCAUGUGUUUGUGCUCUGUUUUAGUUUCUUACUGAGCUUGUGAGAUCUGGGUUUUGGAGGAACAAAUACUUAAAUUUGCUGAGUUUUGGGACUUGUUUUCUUUAGUUCUUGCUGAGAUUUGGUGAAUUUUGAGAGGUAUAUAACCUUUGUCAAUGCAUUUUAUUGAAAUUUUGAUUCCUGCAUGUGAACUUAUUUGUGGAAAUGUCACUGUGAACUUAUGAAGCAUCUCAUCAAUUUCACAUUUUGAUUUGUAAACCUACCUAAGUACCUAAGAUCUGAUCCAGGACACCUUUUUUUUCCUCUGCAGGAAGUUGUGGAAAAUGGGAUUUUCCAUGAUUUUCACUGUUUGUAGUGCAUUGUUGCUUCUGAGCUCUUCAUCUGCCAAUGCCCAAACAGCCAGCCCCCCCUCAUUUAGCCCGACCCCGGCACCGGCGCCAGCCCCAGAUUUUGUAAACCUCACAGAUCUGCUCACUGUAGCUGGUCCAUUUCACACCUUCCUCAGUUACCUCCAGUCCACCAAAGCCAUCGACACCUUCCAAAACCAAGCCAAUAACACAGAGGAAGGAGUGACUAUCUUUGUCCCAAAAGACAGCGCUUUCUCGGCACAAAAGAAACCGUCUCUCUCGAAUCUCACCGCGGAUCAACUCAAGUCUCUUAUCCUAUUUCAUGGGUUGCCACAUUACUAUUCCCUUGCUGAGUUCAGGAACCUCAGCCUUCAGAACCCGAUCCCAACGUUUGCCGGUGGGCAAUACAGUUUGAACUUCACAGACGUUUCUGGGACUAUCCAUAUUGGCUCUGGCUGGACUAACACAAAGGUUAGUAGCAGUGUGCAUUCAAGUGAUCCUGUUGCUGUUUACCAAGUAGACAAACUUCUGCUGCCUGAGGCAAUCUUCGGAACUGAUAUUCCACCAACCCCGGCCCCAGCACCCGCACCUGAUAUCGCUCCUGCUGCUGACGCUCCUUCGGAUGUUAUUGAUGGGAGGGCUGCUCCAUCUUCAGAACCAAAGCCAUCAUCUUCCCAUAGGAUCAUCAAUUGGGGAAUUUUGAUUCACAUUGUUUUGGGUAUCUCUGGUGGAUUUUUGUUUUGAUUGUGAUCAGAAAUCCUACCAUCCAUUUAUUACAUUUAUGAAAACUAUAUUGCCAUUUUGUUUUGUUAUUGAUGUGAAGCUCCAUUUUUUUAUGAACAUAUAUGUUGUUGGAUUUGUGCAUGAGAAUUCCUAUUGUGUGGUCUAUAAAUUAUGACGGGGAAGGAUUUUUGUUUUACAGUUCAAUGAAUUCAUCCUCUAAUAAAUAUACCAAUUCUUGUAUUUUUAUUGACAAAAAUAACUUCAUCUUUCCAACUUUGGUUUGUAUAUCUGUGAUAUGGAAUCCAAUAAAUUGUAAUUAAGAACUCUUUGAUAAUUUGACUAAAAUUCCCAAAUCAGCCUGAUUUUUUCCUAAAAGUAGAUCAAAUUUCUAUUCUUCAAAUGCUACACGAGAUAGGAAGAUCAAAUUCCACUUGAAUGAAUGUUUUUAGCAUUGCAAUUCAUGAUUCAAAAAGCUCUUUUUGGCUAAACUUGAGGAAGACCAACGACUAAAUUUGAUUAUCAUAAUCGGAAUAAAUCAACCCAAUCUCUCAAUACAACUCUCAUUUAAAUGAUAAACCUAAAACAUACUAAAAUUACAUUACAAUUAUUAAAUCAAAUCUAAUUAAUAAUUUGAUGCUUUCAUGGUUCUUUCAUCAAUAAAAUAUAAUUAUUAAAAUCUAAUUAAUAACUUGAUGGUUCCAUGGUUCUUUCAUCCUAAAUCAUUUUCAUUAUGAUCACACCACUCUAGAAAUUAGAAAGAUUUCUUUUACAAAUUUUAAACUAAUAUCUAAGUUCUAUAUUUAAAAAUUUUAAAACUUAUCAUUUCCAUGGAGUGGUUUUGAAAAAAAUGAAAGUAAUUUUUUUCAUUAUUUCAAAAUCACUUUCGAUUGUGUGUAUAACCGUAACGGUUUGAACUUACUCGAGCCUGGAAAAAGAUGGGACCAUUCCAAAGAUUUGAAGAGUUGUAAUUAAUGAGGAUGGAAAUUUUGUGUGUAUGAUUUGGUUAUUGACAUGGAAAGAUGAAACCAUGAAAAGGAUGAGAAACUCCCCAACAAAAAGAAUGAGACAAAGUGUGAAAAGAAAUAAAAGAAAAUGAAAUGAAAGAGUGUAAACUAAAUCCAACUACAUAUUCACUUCAAAUUGAAAUAACCCCAACUUUCACAAUACAUCUACCAAUUUUACCAACAAAAUAUAUGUUCCAUUAAACGAGUUUAACCAUGUUAGGGUUUGAUUUCCUUUAUGCUCUAAACGUUGUAGGAAAUAGGAAAACUAAAUGUAUGAUAAGUACUAUUUUUUUCGAGUUUGAAACUUUGAAUUUUUGUACCCUCAUUGCCUAUUAAUUAAGUUACCAAUAACCUAACACGUGGGAGACUAUAAAAUCUACCAUAAAUAUGUAGACACUAAUGUCUAAUCGUAUUGUAGCUAAUAUGAAUAAAUUUUAAGUUACAAUAACCCAAAUGAUAAUUUCACUAACAAUAAUGAUUCUUCUUUCUGUUUUUUUCGUUCAUCUCCAAGGAAAUAUGAUCUAAAAUUGAAUGUUAAAUCAAUGGAUUGGACAAUGCACCUUGAUCAAGACAAACAUGUAAAAACAAGUAUGUGCCUAAAGUGUUUCCAUGUGUUGGUAUUGUGCUGUGUCCAAACCGAACAAAUAUUUUGUCCACCAAAAUAUGACCUAAAAUUAUACCAUGGAGUUAUGUUUUUGUUGGUAAUAAAUAAUUACACCAACACAAUUAGAUAAUAGAAACUCAGUCUAAAUGAUUAAAUCACUUUAAAGCUAAAUUCAUCAAUUCAAACAUAAUAACUAAGUCGAUACGACACUUAUUACCAUUCUAUAGUUCAAUCUUUCCUUUCAUAAUUGUUUGAACUAAAAAAACGAUUAAAAAGUUGAAUUAUUCUUUGCUUGCUUAGAAGAAAAAUAGGAAGAAUAUUACACCUUCUCUAUUUCUCUUUUCAAUUUCAUCAAAUUUCUCAUCCAUAUUCAAGAAUAAAUGACACUCAAAGAAUGCGGAUUGAAUUAAAGUAUAAAAAUUGUAGAUUAGCAAAAAAUGUAUAAUUUCAUCUUAAAUAUGAGAGUUGAAUUUGUGUUGAAGAUGAAGAACAAGACAUUCAUGCAUUAAUUAAUAGAAAGUAAAGGCACCCAAAGAGAGAGAUUGCGUAAUCAUUAAGAAAUUCAUGAGAAAAGAGAGCGUAAGCAAUGAAUUUUCAUUUUCAAAACUCUCCAUAGAAUGAAAACAUGAAAGAAUGAAAAAGGAAAGGUUGAUUAAAUUAAAUCAUAUAUGAUUAUUUAUUAUAAUUAUAUAUUUUGAGGCUUUCAGUGGCUGAAUUUGGUUUUUGGUUCCCCAUUUUUCUUGGUCUCUCUCAGCAGUUCCUCAAAACAAGCACGCCUUUCUCUCGUUUUCCUCGCCUAUUCCUGUCCCUAUUCCAUUCGCCUUCUUCACACAUCCUCAUUCAUUCCCACCACCUCUCUUUCACUCUUCACCAUGACAUUGCUUUUCUGAUUAAUCUCUUUCUUCCAUCUCGAUUUUAGGACUUUUUCUCUAGGUACGAUGUCUUUUCCCUUGCUCUUCAUUGAUUUUCCUUCUUUUCAUCCAAUUUGUUGUUUUCAGACUAUUCCAUGAAUCCCCAUGUUUUUGUGUGUUAGUAUUCAUGCAUAGUUUGUUCAAUUGCGUCUAAAUUAUGACUCUUUAUUGUUUUUUCCUUUCUGGGUUUUCCUUAUUUCCAUUGAAUUUGUUGAUUUUACAUUAUUCGGUGAAUCCCCAAGUAUUGUGUUUGAACAUUUGUGCAUAGUAUGUUGAAUUGCUUGUAGACUACGCCUCUUCAAUUGGGUUUUGGUUGAUUUUUCGUUUUAUGGGAUCUGUUGUUUUGUCAAUGGUGAUUAUUUUUCCAUGUUGGUUUCAUUGUGAUUGGUGUGGUUUGUUUCAUAGUUGUCUCUCAUGUUUGUAGGAUUGACCUUUAUUGCUUUUGUGGACAUCUCUGUGAUUGGAAUUUAUUGUUUCAGUUCUUAGGAAGUGUUCUUUGUGUUGAGACUUAGAGAUUCUGCCAAAAAAGAGUUGAAGAUGUCAAGCUUUGAGGGUGUUCUUGUUUCUGAUCCAUGGCUUCAAAGUCAAUUCACCCAAGUCGAGCUUCGUACCCUCAAAUCCAGAGUAAGCAUCUACUUUUCUAUUUUCUUGGGCUACUGGAGUCGUUUUGGUUAUUUUUUCUGGUAAAUUUUGAUUUCUUUUCAGUUGAUAUGAGAAUUGGUUUUGUUGGAUUUAGUUUAUUUCGGUAAGGAGCCAAUCGGGUUGUUUCAAGGUGGAAGAUUUGCCUCCUGUUUUUGUGAAAUUGAAAGCUUUCAGCGAAAUGUUUACUGAGGAUGAGAUUAAAGAUUUCUUAAAGGAAACAAGUAGAGACGUGGGUGAAGAAAUAGACUUCGAGUCAUAUCUUCGGGUGAGUCUAUUUAUGAUGGAAUUUGAAUUGUUUUUUGUUUACGGAUGAACUUUAACCAUUUCCUCUCAGGGAAUGUUGAUUUUCCAUUUUACAAGCAUAAGUAGUUGUUUUGAAGUGGUUGAAUUUAUAAGAUUAAUUACUGUAGGCAUAUCUAGAUUUACAAGGCAGAGCAACAGCUAAAUCGGGUGGAUCUAAAAACUCUUCUUCAUUUCUCAAGGCUGCCACAACUACGUUUCAUCAUGCCAUUAACGAAUCCGAGAAGGCUUCUUAUGUUGCACACAUAAACAGUUUUCUGGCUGAAGAUCCAUUUCUGAAGAACUAUCUCCCUUUAGAUCCUAGUACCAAUGAUUUGUUUGACCUUGCGAAAGAUGGUGUUCUUCUAUGGUAGUUGAAACAACUUGAAUUUAGACAUAUCAAUGUUUAACUUUGUGUUGACAGAUGGUAAUAAUUUUUGUUUAUGCUUUUGGUUGCCCUGUGCAGUAAGCUUAUCAAUGUAGCUGUUCCAGGGACCAUAGACGAACGAGCUAUCAAUACGAAAAAAGUCCUUAAUCCAUGGGAGAGAAAUGAAAACCAUACUCUUGGCCUUAACUCUGCAAAGGCUAUUGGAUGCACAGUGGUUAACAUUGGCACACAAGAUUUGGUUGAAGCUAGAGUGCGUUAUAGCUACCUCUUUGGCCAUCUAUAAGGAUCUGCAUUUAAUUAGCAUAUUCAAUUAAAUAAAUUUAUUGUAUAGUUUCCUAAUUUUGUCCCUUUUUUAAUUCUGUUUUCUAGCCGCAUCUGCUGCUUGGGCUGAUAUCACAAAUAAUUAAGGUAUUAAAUAAUUGAUUGUCUUCAUUUUGCUUUUUGAAUGUUUUUUUGUUGGACAUAUUCAGGAAAAAUGUUUGAUCUUCCAAGGUCUUUACUAUCGGGAAUUAGCUUUAUUUAUCUCUUUUACUGUGCUGGUAAUGUAGAUUCAAGUGCUGGCUGAUCUUAAUCUGAAAAAAACUCCUCAACUUGUGGAACUGGUGGAUGAUAGCAAGGUGAUUUUUUUUGGGUUAAUGUCUUCAUAAUAAGAGUUGAUUUGUCUGGCUGUUGGAGAAAAGGAACAAAUCUUCUUGAAGCUAUUAUCAUAGGAUGGUUGAUGAUUUGUAACAAUUCUCACAAAUAUUAUCAAUAACCUGGCAGGAAGUGGAAGAACUCAUAGGGCUAGCACCAGAGAAAGUCUUACUCAAAUGGAUGAAUUUUCAUCUGAAAAAAGCUGGCUAUGAGAAACAAGUUACAAAUUUUUCAUCAGAUGUGAAGGUUAGAAGAUGCCCACUGAUUACUUUAUAAUUGAUUCACGCUUUAGUAGUUCUGCAUAGAUUCUUGAUUAUACAAGUAAUGUUUCUUUCAGUACCUUUACAUUUAAUUUCUGAAUGGGUUCUAGAUGUUUGAUCAAUUGGACAUAGUUAGAUCUGCUCUCUUUUCAAUCAUGAAAUUAAUUGUCUUAGUUAGGUCCAUUCUUUUUGUCUUUUUUGCUCUAGCUUCCAUGUGAAGUGAUGACCUCCGUGAGCAUGGUUUACCCAUUUUCUAACUUCCGUCAAUGUCCAAUUUUGACAAUGGCUUUCCUGGAGAAAAAUUUAUAACGUGCAAAUCAUAUUAUGUGUGAUGGACUCAUUUCAGGACUUAGAAUUAGAACUCAGAAUUUCGUGUAACCACAUUGAAAUCUCUGUUAGAGGCCCCACAUUAAGUAGAGAAAUUAGACUCAUUAAAAUAUUUUGAAAAAGUAUUCAGUGAGGCUGUGUUUUCUAUAUUGGUUACGUAAUCAAAAUUUUCAUUUGCAGGAUGGAGAGGCAUAUGCUUAUCUGCUCAAUGCUCUUGCACCUGAGUUCUCUGGUCCAGGGACUUUGAAUGUUAAAGAUCCUUCUGAAAGAGCUAAUAUGGUUCUUGAUCUUGCAGAAAAAUUGGAUUGUAAAAGAUAUAUUACUCCCAAGGACAUUAUUGAGGGUUCACCAAAUCUUAAUCUUGCAUUUGUUGCCCAAAUUUUUCAGCACAGGUGAGAAACAUCGUUUUCCCCAUCAUGUUUGUCAAAUCCUUUGCAAGUGUACGUACCUCUCACUGUGGAUGUGCCUUUUCUCUCAUUCUAAACAUGUUAUUUCAUUUCUUAAUAUUCGAAGUGAACAUGUGGAUAGUUGAUCAAAAUUUCAAAGGUAAGAAGGUAUCUAACUCCCAGGAGCUUUUUGUCCAAUCUUUCCUACGUUGGCCAUAAUGGAAAGGACCUAAUGCUGGUCACCGUUGUUUGAUAGCCAAGAAACCCAAUACAAGAAAUAUAUUGAGUUGGAGGCCCAUAUGAUUUCGACUCAAUAACUUGGUUGAAAUUUUCUUUAUGGAUGAUCCUUCAAUUUUAAUUCAAUUAAUCUUCCAGCAAGUUGUAAAAUGAAGGAAGAUAGAAAUUCAUCAUAGGAGACGACCUAUCAUAUCAACAAUAGCAGUAUGUUUCAUGGAGUUUCAAAAUAUAUGAUGCUGCGUAGUUGGAUUUUUAAUCUAAUUUGUAUUGGAAACUUGUAAUGCAGGAAUGGGUUGACUGUGGACAGUUCAAAAAUGUCAUUUGCAGAAAUGAUGACUGAUGAUGCCCAAACCUCGCGGGAAGAGCGGUGCUUCCGGUUGUGGAUCAACAGUCUUGGCAUAGCCACAUAUGUCAACAAUGUUUUUGAGGAUGUGAGAAACGGGUAUUGUUUUCUGUUUUACUCUUACUUAUGAAUCAACUAUAUAUCCUCCUUUUUAUGGACAAGCUUGAGAUAUGACGUCCAUACUGCAGAUGGGUUCUUUUGGAAGUUCUUGACAAGGUUUCUCCUGGAUCAGUAAUAUGGAAACAGGCAUCAAAGCCUCCUAUCAAGAUGCCAUUUAGAAAAGUUGAGAAUUGCAAUCAAGUGAUAAAACUUGGGAAGGAGUUAAAUUUUUCUCUUGUAAACGUAGCUGGAAAUGAUAUUGUGCAGGGAAACAAGAAACUUAUACUCGGUAACUACAAAAUUUCUCUCCUCUUUUCUAGAAUAUGAACUCUCCAUUCAUUUGGAUUUUGAUUGACAUUCACGAAUGCUAUUCUGUCAUGUUUUGAUUUAUUGGUCACCAGCGGAAAGAUUAGUAGACCAUACAUUUUAGGGAAAAUCUAUAAAAAAAAAAGAAUGAGAAUGAUUGGGUUCCUUUAGCCAAAAAAAAAAAAUACUUUGCUUGCGCAUAUGUACUUGCUUAUAUUCUAUGAAGUAUGAACUAUAGUUCUUGCAUCAUAGUUAUUAGCACGUUUUGAUGUUGAAUGUACUGAUCAAACCAUGAUCUUACUGCCUAGUUACUGUUGUUGAUUCCAAAUUCCUAUUUGGUAGUAGAAGAGACUUAAGGAUCCUCAAACUAGAGAUAGAAAUUACAAGACCAAAUAUCUAAAGAUAAUUUCCUUCUUAUUGAGCAGCAUUUCUAUGGCAACUGAUGAGGUUUACCAUGCUUCAACUGUUGAGAAACCUGAGAUCACACUCUCAAGGCAAAGAAGGGAAAGAGAUUACAGAUGCUGAUAUCCUGAACUGGGCAAACAACAAAGUAAAGAAAGCCGGUAGAACCUCCCAGAUGGAGGGCUUCAAGGUAAAUGAUUGAAGAAUGUGUUUUUACGUCAAAGUCUAUUGUUGAUUGUUUCACCUGGAUGAUAUAACUUCUGGUUUCAGGAUAAGAACCUUUCAAAUGGUAUCUUCUUCCUUGAGCUUCUUAGUGCUGUGGAGCCAAGGGUGGUGAAUUGGGCUGUUGUCACAAAAGGAGAAACUGGUGAGUCUUUAUGCUGUUUUUCUUAAAGUUCCAUCUUUGGAGCGUAGGAUUGUUUGUUUCAAUUUUGCAGGGAUGGUUCUGUAAGCUAUCUUACGGUGUAAAAUUGUCAAAUUGCAGAGGAAGACAAGAAGCUGAAUGCGACAUAUAUUAUUAGUGUUGCUCGAAAGCUGGGCUGCUCCCUGUUCUUGCUACCUGAAGAUAUUAUUGAAGUAAGUUGCUUAACUUGAUUAUAUACCAUAUCUUUUGAAAAAAUGGUGAGUGUAAUUGUUGGCACUUAAAACUCCAAUUGAAUUCCUGUUCAACCAUGCCAACUUUUGAUAGGUAAACCAAAAGAUGAUCCUUAUACUCACUGCUAGCAUCAUGUACUGGAGCCUGCUGCAACAAGCAGGUGAGUCCGAGCUGUUAAACAUGAACGACGGUAACGUUUCAGAUGGCAACACAGAAGCUUCGGUUGAUGGGACCGAAUUGUCGUUGGCUAACCAAACUAGUUCUUUGGCAAUAGAGGACAAUGCUUCAGUUCGAAAUAAGGAAGAGUCUGAGGAAGAAACCUCAGCCACUUCCUCAGGCAUUAAAAGUGCAAAUUCUUAAUAGAGAGGGAGCUACUCACAAAAGCAAACUCAGCAUAUUUUUUUUCCCCUUUUUGAUUAAAUUUAUUUAUUGAGAGGAUAUAAUACAGGAAGAAAAAUGAUUACAGUUUAGCUUAUUCUACUGUUUGGUUAAUUGUGGUUUGAGGAGAGCCCUAUUUUAUAUGGUGCUCAUAUUAUCCUCAUUGUAGGGUCCUGUAUAUUCAUUUUCUUUAUAUUUUGAACUAGAAAAUUUUGUUAAUUAGGCUAUAAUUUCUGUUGAACAAUUAUUAUUAUAUCAUAUAUACAAUAAUUAUAUGGGAAAGGAGAAAAAAAAGGUUAUUAUCCUUAACCCCUUGUUUCUUGGAUUAUUGUAAUCAGAGGUUUGAUGGUUAAAUCUUUCAUUUUUUAACUCUAAUUGUUAAGACUAGAAAGUUGGGAGUUUAAAUGCCAAAACUGAGUCUGUUUACCAAACUACUUACUCAAAUUGUUAACAUAAUAUCAUCAGUCUUUUACUAUGGAAGAAAAAUAUAUUGAAAAUUAAAGGUUUUUUUUUUUUUUUCUCUUUUAUUAUUUUAUAUUUUUAUUCGAAAUUUAUAGGCUAAAAUAGUUGAAAUUUAUUGAUAUAUUUAUUCAAAUGUGUUAUAUUUUAUUAUUUUGUGAUUUUGUUGAUCACAAGUUUGUUGAGAAGAGGAGAUCCCUAACCUUAACCAUAUAAAAAAUCUCACAAUUAAUUAUGCUUGAAUAUUGUGUUUAGGUUAAAUAGUAAUGUUCUAAAUGAAACGAUCGUAAAUAUUUUAAAAUAUAAUAAUAAGUGUAGCAACAACAAAAUUUAUUAAAAUACCAUUGAUGGAUGGAUAGAUACUUAUAUACUAUUAUCAUCUUAAUAAAUACUAAUAGAUGUCUUAAUAGAGAUGUCCAUUUAAUCCAUGGAGAUCGACGAACGAGACACGAGGAACGGGGGCGUGAAAAAUUCUUUUUACUCUUUUAUGUAUUCCCCGUUCCCAACCCCGACCUGAACAAAAAUAUAGCUAAAUAUAUAUAUAAAUAUAAAUAUAAAUAUUUGUUUAUUUAUUAACUUAGAGUUAAAAAAAAAGAAAAAAAAGAAAGGCUAUUUUGAAACUCUUCCUUUCUUCUUUUUUUUCCUUUAAUUCCAUUUAUGUGUUGUGAACUUUCUUUAAAAGUAUAUGUAUAUGUUGCAUUUACUUAUGAUUUAUAAACUUUUCUUGGUUGUUUCUUACAAAAUAGGAUGUAAUUGAAGUUUUUGUUAGAAUAUUUAGAGAUUGAUUUUUUAUUUUUUGUAUGGAUUUUUGAAUUUUAUGGAUAAAUUUCUAAAUGUAUUUUCUAAUAAUUGAACUUUUACCUUUAUAAACCGUGAGAAUUUGACAUUUUAAUUGUUUUAAAUAAGAAAAUUGAUAAUAUUCUAUUGAAAAAAAAACAAUAUUCAAACAUAUAUACAUUUCAAAUAGCUAAUCAGAUUGGAUAAUGAAAUUAAACUUAAAAAAAAAGGAAAACUUGAUCCCUUCUAAAUCCUCACGAGUAAUCCCUAUCCUGUUUCCCACGAAAAAUUAGUGGGGAUGUGAAAUAGGACAGGGAACGAGGACAGGAAUUGGCAUCCUCAGACCCGUCUCGAUAUCUAGAUGUCUAUCAACGUUUAUCACUAAUAGAUUAUAAAAUUUUGGUAUAUUUGUAAAUAUUUUUAAGAGUUUUAUCAUCUACUACAAUUUUCCAAUUUUUUUUUUUUAUUCAACUUUUUUCCUCUCUAAUUUUUACCUCUUCAUCUGACUAUUUACUCUUAAAAUCUCAAUUCGUCGCUCUUAAUUUUUUUUUAAUCUUUAAAGUUAGCUUGUCAUUCCCCCCAAAGUUUAUUAAUUUUUUCCUAUGCCUUUGGCAAUUUUUGUUAGAUCUGUAUUGUUUUUCUUACAUUUUAAAAAGCAUACGAUUUCAUUUUUAGUAGUUCUUAUUUCUUGCCCUAAAUAAUGCUCCAUUCAAAAUAUAUCAUUUUUAGUUUUGAUUUUACAAAAUACACUUUCAAAAGUGUAGGGAGCACAACCAAAUAUGCCAUCCAAAUCACUUAUUAAUAAAUCAGUUUUUUUUGUUAAAAUCACUGCCCAAACAUGCUGUACUUGUCAUGGUCGUAAGUGGUUAACUUAUACGAUGAGAUCUUUAAAUAAACACAGUCAAUCUCAAGCCAUUCCAUUUAUUCAUUACUUUUUUUUUUUCAUAACAAAGCAUUUAUUCAGUACUUAAAAGCAAACACACUGGACUGCAGACAUUAUUAUAUAAUAUAUGAACUUGAGAAAUCAAAAAACAAAGCAACAAAGUAGGAUUUGUUGUUAAACUUUUGGCUUGAGAUUGUACAUCAACCAGGGCCUGAUCAUCAGCAGAUUAGUGGCAGCACUUGACGCAAUGACCAUGGGAACACUUGCAGCAACCUUUGUGGCAAUGGUGGUGGCAUUGGGCAAGUGAAGCAUCUUCUCCUCCCAAAUCGUGGUGCUUGACAUCAUUGAUUUCAUCUGUUUGCUUAAAAGCUUCAUCUACAAUGUUAAUGAAUAUCUCAUGAGAAUCAACACACACAUAUAACACUAAUGAAAUGAGUAUAAGUAAAGAGUGUGUUGCAAUGUAUCAUCUAAUAAAUGAUUAGACUCACUAGAUUUUAUGUCGUUCGUGGCCGUAACUGCGGUUACCUCUAGGAUGACAGCUGCGAAAAGGAGACCGAGGAGGAUGAAAGCCUUAGAAUUCAUUUUCUUUUUCUUGUAGAUUUAGAAUGAUAUAUAAAAUGUAUUUGGAGAUGGGAUGAGAAUUAGUUUUGGAGGAUUUCAAAUGUAUUUAUAGUAGUAGGAUGGGAUAUAGAAGAAGGGUAAGAUUGGAAUAAGAAUUUUAAUUGCUAGAGUAGAAGUUUCCUUACAAUAUUAUACAAUGUCAAGUUGGUGAAAAUUUGGUCCCAAUUUUCUUUUACUCAUACUUUGUUUUCAUUGCAUUGGCCUCUCAUUCAAAGAAACGUGUAAAUUUAACAUCUUAUUGUUUUAGCUAAUUCAAAUACGGUAAAAAUUGUUUAUAGCAAAUAACAUUCAAAAAGCGACGUACUAGCCCCUGUAAUGACUAGCAACGUCACUUUUGUUUCUUUUAUGCGUUUAAAGUGAAAGUUGUCUCCACAAAUCAAUUUAGAUUCUUUAAGUAUUUUGACAUUAAAAUUUGAAUACAUAUAUAAAUAUUAUUGAGAGAAAGUUAAAGUAUAAAUUUUUUUUAUAUUUUAUAUUGAUGAAAGAAAAUAAGGUUUUCUAUCAUAGUAAUUUAUACAAAUCGGUCAAACUACAAUAUCUUAAAUUCAUUGAUUUCUUCAUGAAUAGCCUAAUGAAUUACAAUAUCGGAUAAAAAUCAAAAUCAAGUCCAAAAUUCAUAUCAUCUCAUUAACUUUUUUACCAUUUACUAUUGUCUUAAAAAAGAGGAUAUUGGAAAAAAGAAGACACAAAUAUGUAAAAAAGAUAUAAAAAUCAUGUGCUAUAAGAUGGUCUAUUUUGUAAAACGAUUUCUUAUCAAAAUUAAUCACAAAAGGAAAAAUUUUUACAUUUAAAGAUUUCCAUUUGUGGAAUCAUUCAAACCUUUUUCAACGAGCAAAGAGGGUACGUUGUGCAACCAUUUCAAUUUCAUAGUAAGGCUCAUAAUCAAUUAUUAUAUUCUUUAUAUUUAGUAGGUAUAUAGUUCUAUAUUUAUAUCAACAUGUGGGUAUAUAUGAAUAAAAUAUAUAAGAUAUCAUGCACAUAUUAAUUGUUAUGACUAAUCUACCAAGCUCUUUAUUCCAGUGUGUGUAUAUAUAUGAGUAAUAUACAAUACAUCAUCAUCAUGUUGUACAAUAACAAUUCAUAUACACCUUGGGAUUGAGAAACACUUAUUUUUAUGUGUAUGUGUAUGUUUAUACAGUAUAUACUCUUCAUAAAAUUUAUAUAUACUGAUUUGUACUACUUAUAAAGUUAAGUUCUGUGUAUGCAUCCGAGAUAGUUUAGAAAAAGUUUGUGUAUAGUUUUCUGAACAAUGGAGAUGCAGAAGCAGCAUUUAUUGGGUUCUCCAAGUAGAGUAAAUUUUGUCUACGAGGACUAAACCUAUAUUAAUAGAUGAUAUAUAAUUAGACGAAGAAGAAGAAAACCAAGUGUCUUUAAAAGCUUAACUUUCUAGUUUUCAAAAGUUUACUUCAUCCAUCUUCUAAUCUAAUGAAAAAAAUUUGAAGAUAAAAGUAAUACUCUUAAACUUAAUUUUAAAAAUAAAAAUUUAAAAGUCAAAUUGUUAUUGCCUUAUUAUUUUUUGUUUUUCCACUUACACACUUCUUCAUCAUUUUCCAAAAUUUCUUAUUAUCUUAUUAUUUUGUUUCUCCACUCACACACUUCUCCAUCAUUUUCCACCUUAAUUAUCUUACUCAUUACCUUAAUUUUCCUCUUCUUACCUAACUCACUUGAACGACUUUUUGUUUUUCUUCAUCUUCCUCACCGUUCAAUUUCCCCAAACCAAUAUCAAACCUUUUCUCUUCUCUCAUAUGACCAACACUUCAACUUUCUUUUUCCUCUAAACAUAAAUUUACCAUCCAUUUCUUGUUUUUUACUUUUGUUUUCUAUCACCUUUAAAUCCACAACUCCAAUGCUAUUGAAUAGCUUCUCUUUUUCAUAAUAAGAAAGAGUAAAAAACUACUCAUUUUUACCCAAAUGCAUGACAGAUACUUCUCCCAUUUUUACCUAACAAGUUCAUACUUUAAUCUACUUAAUCUCCAUUCUGUCAUGAUUUCAAAUCAAUAGUAGAACUAGCUACCUCUACUAAAUGAAGAACAACCCAAGUAUCUUCCUGAAAAAAAAAAGAAUAAUUCAUUUCUUCAUUCCUAAUUUCUAUGGUUUAUUCUUGAAAAAAUUUACAGAAAAACUUCUUCCAGUUUGCUAAAGGAAACACCUCCAAUUUGUCCCAAGGCCAAUCUCAAGAACAAAAAUGCAAAACAUGAAUCUCUCCAAAUGUGUCUCUCUUUCCUUAAUUCUAUUUGGUUGAGAAUCUUGCAUUAAAAAUAACAAAUAACCUUACACUCAUUAUGAGAUAGAUGAACUAUUUCUCCAAUUGUUUAAUUAAUUUUGAGGUGUAACCCGUGUUACGUAGUAUGAUAACAUAUUGGCUCAUAAAGCUCAAACAAAUAUUUGAUUUAAUAAAAAAAAUUAUAUGAUCUAUCUAUUAUACCAAGGGACAUGCUUGAUUUCCUGUUUGACUAGGGUUAGGGGAGGCCGAACAUCUCUCCUUAGUCACAGUUUUUACUAGGACAUAAAUGUUACUUAACGUAAUACAUUAACUAAUUUAUUUUGCUAUGGUUAGCCUAGGUGAAGCAUGCAUAAAUUUGCUUUGAAGCGAAUUAACCCUCCCCACUAUUAUGCACAUUUUGGCCCUAGGACCUUUUAAGUCCAAAUCUUUUUCUUUUCUAACCUUCUUGUUUUUCGAUUUGAUUAUACCCUUCAUUCUAAAAUCACUAGUAAUAUUGGUAAAUUUAAUUAUAUCAAUAGUUUAACAUGUUGGAUCAUUCAUAUAUAGUUUUGAAAGGCUAAGGUCCAUAAAUAGGCAUAUAAUUUGAGAGCGAAUGUCCUAAAAGCUCAUCAUUUUCUCCAUAUAUUUCUUCAAAAGCUCAGUUUUGCUCAAAAUGCUCGAUGUUCGUCCUUGUGGGUAUCCAAAAUUGGCCAUUUACACAUCAAAACAAUUAUGAAAGGGUCUUCUUUAGGAGGAAAGGAACAAAGAGAGAAAAGAAGGAGAUGGUAGAAGAAAGCCUAAUGUCACGUGGUUAUUUUGAUCACUAAACCAACGUGCGACACAAAGGUGUUGGGGUUGCACCAAUGUAAGCCUAAGAGCGAUUGGACUUGUUGGAACAAUCUAAAGAAGAAGGAAAUUCGUAGGCAAGAAGUAGGCAAAGAGUUGUAGACAAGGUGUUUGAUGAAAUGCUUAAGAGAGCUUUGUUGAUGAAUUCCCAAGGAUUCUGUGUUGUCUAUACAAAUGGACCCCUUUGGGGUAUUUAUAGAAGUAUACAACCGACUUACAAGCCCUAAACCGCCUUACAAGGUCGGCAAAAACAAUCUGGAAAAUUUCCGAGCGCUCAUGACACUGUCUGGAAGCUUCUGGAUCCGUCUGGCGCGCACGCGCCUUCGCGCGUGUUCGCGAGCCUUCUCGGCCGCUCGCUAGUCUUUUGAAAACUUUGAGAGGUUCCCGGACCUUCUCUGCGCGCUCCGUGUCUGCUUCCCGCGCACGCUAGUGCCGUGCGCGCGUCCGACUGGCCUUGCGUGCGCGUCCGUGUCGCGCGCGCCCAUCUGCCGUGCGCGUCUGUCUGUCUGCCUACUGCCCUUGCGUGUGCUCGCGUCCAUACCAUGAGAGGGUUGCGCGCGUCUGUCUCCUGCACAUUGGCGUGUCAUAGGCUUGACGUGAACUUGUUCCUCUUCCUUGGGUCUUUGGACUGCUUGGGACUUGGUUGGCUCCCCUUGGGCAAUGUUAAGGAGCCUUAAUUUGCGAAAAAUUUGUUGGGUCAUUUUUGGGGUGUGACACCCUCCCCCACUCGAUUUCGCAACGGGCGUUGCGCUUUCUUGAAAUCUUCUGAUUUCAUCUUGAAAUUGCCAUAGGGUGUCCUCCUUUUCCCAACUUGCUUCGCUUUUGGGUAGUCCUUCCCAAGCAAUCAAAUAUUCAUUAUAGCUGGGAACUCCUUUCCCUCGUGUCUUCCUUUCUGCUAAGAUCUCCUUGAUUUUCUGUUGAAUUCUGAGAUUAUGGCAGUAGGAAUAACAACAAGCUCUGCCUUUCGGCUUAAGGCAUCAGCAACUACAUUAGCUUUGCCCGGCUUGUAUCGUAGAUGAAAAUCAAACUCGGCAAGAAAGUCUUGCCAUCGAGCUUGCUUUGGUGUGAGUUUCUUCUGCGUCUGGAAGUAGCUGGUUGCCACAUUGUUUGUCAUCAUCGUGAAUUUACUGCCUAACAGGUAGUGUCUCCACACUCGUAUGCAUUGGACGAUGGCGGUCAUCUCCUUUUCUUGCACGGUGUAUCGCCGCUUCGUAUCAUUGAGUUUGCAGCUCUUGUAGGCUAUAGGAUGACCUUCCUACAUCAAGACACCCCCUAUUGUAAAGUCUGAUGCAUCAGUGUGCACCUCAAAUGGUUUGGUGUGAUCAGCUAAAGUCAUCACAGGCUCUUUCGAGACGGCUUCUUUCAAUCUGUCAAGGGAUUGUUGACACUCCCCACUCCAAUGCCAGGUUUGGCUUUUCUUUAGGAAGUUGGUGAGGGGUGCAGCAACAUUUGAGUACCCCUUUAUGAAUCUAUGAUAGUAGUUCACGAACCCUAAAAAUGAUCGCAACUUCGGGAUUUUAGUAGGGGGUUUCCAGUCAAGUAUGGCACGUACCUUUGAUGGAUCCAUCAUUAAUCUGCCUUCUCUAAUCCAAUGUCCCAAAAACUCCACUUCUGGUUUGGCAAAUGAGCAUUUUUCCAGCUUAAUAUAUAACUUGUUGUCGUGGAGUACCUGGAAUACUUGUCUGAGAUGUUGAACAUGUUCUUCCAUGGUUCGACUGUAUACUACAAUGUCAUCCAGAUACACGACAACAAACUGAUCUAGGAAUGGUUGGAAAAGUUUGUUCAUCAGAGUGCAGAAAGUGGUCGGGGCAUUUGUUAAUCCGAAGGGCAUUACUAAGAAUUCGUAAGCGCCGUACCUGGUUACGCAUGUUGUUUUUUGCUCGUCCCCUUCGUUGAUUCUUACUUGGUAGUACCCUGAUCUCAGAUCGAUCUUGCUGAACCAUCGGGCAUUACCAAGUUGAUCAAAUAAAUCAGCGAUCAGCGGUAUGGGUACCUAUUUUUUAUGGUCACCUUAUUGAGGGCUCGAUAAUCGAUACACAGUCUCAAUGACCAAUCUUUCUUCUUCUGAAAGAGCACAUGUGCACCAUAUGGGGCCUUCGAGGGUUGAAUGUAGCUAGCUUUGAGGAGUUCUUUUAAUUGCCUCUUUAACUCCUCAAGUUCUGGAGGGGCCAUUCUAUAGGGAGCCAUAGCGGGUGGUUUGGCUCCUGGCUCCAGCUCAAUCUCGUGAUCUACUUCCCUUCUCGGGGGACGUUUUCUUCGGCAACUCGGCGGGCAUGACGUUCUUGUAUUCUUCAAGGACUUUAUGUACUUCUUUGGGGACGAUAUUUUGGGUAGGACUAGUCUCCUAUGGUUGUGCCUCCUUUAGGGUAACUGCAUAGCACUCGUGCUUGGUGACCCCUCUCUUGAAUUGCAUGGCUGAGAGCAUGGUCACCGGCCUUCCCUUCUUUAGUGGGAUGGUUGUUAUUUGACCAUCCACUAUGGUGAGGGUACUUCCGGAAGAAUUAAUGAUGGCAAUUACCUUAUUGAAGAACCCUAGGCCAAGCACAAUGUCAAAGUCAUCCAUAGGUAUCACGGUGAAGUCGAGCUUACCUUGCCAAUCGCCAAUUUUGACUGUUACACCUCUUGCUACACCUUUGAUGGCUUGUGCUUCUGAGUUUACCGCCUUGACAGUCCCCUCUUCGUUUGUGAACUUGAGGCCUAGUCUCUUAGCCUCAUUCACAUUCAUGAAGUUAUGGCUUGCACCGGUGUCAAACAUGGCAAUAGUCUCUCUCCCGUUUAUCUUUACGUUGCCAUGGAGUAUGCCUCCUUUAGUUGUUUGAUUGGCCUGCUUUAGAGCUCCAAUGUGUUGCAAGGAACCAAUCUGUGGUGUAUCAUCUCCUUGCUUGGGCUCAAGCAAUUUAGCAACGAGUGUGUUCAUUGCUUUUCUAUUCGGACAGUCUCUUGUCCGAUGGGGACCAUUACAAACAAAACAGGGAGAAGGUUUGGACGACUCGCCUUGUUGAGUUUUGUGAUACUUGUCAUGUCUGUGGAAUACCUUCUUUCCUUUUUCUCUUUGUUCGGAGUCUCUAUGCUUGUAGUGAUUGCCUUCACGUUUAUUUGGACUGGGUUUUCUCUCCUUUGAUUGGGCUGUAUAAUCGACAAGUAUCUCGGUUGCAGCUAUAGCGUCAUCCAAUGUUUGAACAUUGCGACGGUCUAGCUCAACCUUGGCCCAAUCUUUUAGUCCAUCUCUGAAUUGGAAUAGGGCUUCCUUCUCUGGCAAAUCACUAAUUUCAAGCAUAAUAGUGGUAAAUUCCUUCACAUAGUCGAGAAUGUUACCUGUGUGUCGUAGCCUUCGAAGUUUGGCUCUUGACUCCAUUUCGGCAUUGUGGGGGAAGAAAGUGCUUCCUUAAUUCGAUCUUGAGUUGCUCCCACGUCUGGAUGACAUUCCCGUUUUGGUCGGCGUACCGUCGACACCACCAAAGUUGUGCGGCAUCCCUUAGGAAUGUCGGGGCAUUGUUUAUCUUGGCCUCAUCAUCUCGAACACCGACAGCUGCAUAGUAUCGGUCAAGGCCAAAGAGGAAGUUUUCCACAACCGUGGCAUUCCUCACCCCAUUGUAUGUGUCAGGUUUUGGCACUUUAAUGUGAGUAGUGCCUUGCACAGCGGUGUGUGUACUGGUGGAUGCACCGUCUCCACCAAAGUGCUUGGAACGACAUUCCAUGCAAAGAGUAUCUACCUUUGCAUCUAGGGAAAUAUACUUAGAAUAGAGUUCGCGUAACUCACCUUCAACAAAUGUCUUCAAAGUGGUUACGGUUGAUGACAACUCCUUCAAAUCCUUUUGGAAUGUCUUUCCAAGAUCGCUAACGAGCUCCUUGGUUACGGUAGAGAUUUCCGCGUUCUCCUGGAUAAGCUCUUCGUAGCUAUCACCCAACUCUUCUACCGUGUGCUGGACAUCCUCAAGACUUUGCUCGAGGUUGGCAAGGCAAGUGUCAACACGCUCCCUUGCAUCUGGACCCUUAGAUUUCGAUCGUCGGGUCGGGGAUCGUCGGGUCGGGGAUCGUCGGUCCUUCCUACCUCAUGUGACAGGUCCUUCAAGAACCUGCUCAACUGGGGCUGAAACGUGGCCUUCUUCGCUGGACAUGAUGUUCACAAGUCAAUUGGAGGUAAGUGGGUAUAGAAACCGUGUUCUGUUACCACUUCGACAACGUUUCAAGAACUAGGGUCUUGAAUCUCGGCCUCUCAGUAUCGUGCACUUGAUAGCAACGAUCAAGAGUAUGUCCCUUUGAACGAACACGCUCUGAUACCACCUGUCACGUGGUUAUUUUGAUCACUAAACCAACGUGCGGCACAAAGGUGUUGGGGUUGCACCAAUGUAAGCCUAAGAGCGAUUGGACUUGUUGGAACAAACUAAGGAAGAAGGAAAUUCGUAGGUAAGAAGUAGGCAAAGAGUUGUAGACAAGGUGUUUGAUAAAAUGCUUAAGAGAGCUUUGUUGAUGAAUUCCCAAGGAUUCUGUGUUGUCUAUACAAAUGGACCCCUUUGGGGUAUUUAUAGAAGUAUACAACCGACUUACAAGCCAUAAACCGCCUUACAAGGUCGGCAAAAACAAUCUGGAAAAUUCCCGAGCGCUCAAGACACUGUCUGGAAGCUUUUGGAGCCGUCUGGCGCGCGCGCGCCUUCGUGAGCCUUCUUGGCCGCUCGCGAGUCUUCUGGAAACUUCGAGAGGUUCCCGGACCUUCUCCGCGCGCUCCGUGUUUGCUUUCCGCGUGCGCGCCCAUCUGCCGUGCGCGUCUGUCUGUCUGCCUGCCACCCUUGCGUGCGUGCGCGCCCAUGCCAUGACAGGGCCGCGCACGCUUGUCUUCUGCACAUUGGCGUGUCAUAGGCUUGGUGUGAACUUGUUUCUCUUCCUUGGGUGUUUGGACUGCUUGGGAGUUGGUUGGCUCCCCUUGGGCAAUGCUAAGGAGUCUUAAUUUGCGAAAAAUUUGUUGGGUCAUUUUUGGGGCGUGACACUAAGCCACCCAAAAACAAUAUUAUAUUAAAUUGAUUGUUUUUUGUAUAAACUUGGAGAAUUCAACUUGGCACCUUUAGAUUUUCCGGAUAUAUAUAUAGGUGCUAAUUGAUUAAACUCUUGUUGGUCAAUUGAUUAAUUACCUAAAAUUUUUUAUUUAAUUGAUAUAGCUCCUAAAAUUUAAAGAGUAUAAAUUGUUUUGUGACAAUUUUUAUUCUUGACCCCUAAGAACCCUUUUCUUUAUAUUAUCAUUCUUCAGAAAUUGUUCUUAAUUUGAUAGUUUAAGUUUUUAAGCUUUGAUGAACAUAAAAGUAAACUUUUUUCCUUGUACAAUAAAUAAACUAAUUAUGAUGACGAUGUUAAAGGUCAUUUCAAACUUAACUAGUCAACGCUUAAUUAAGUUCUAAUAUUAAUUAAUACGUACUGACUUUUUACAAAAAAAAUUACAUUAAGAAAAUUAUUAUAUAAAAAUAUAUUUACAAAAUACAGUAAAAAUUCAUAUGCUAUCCAUUCGAAAAGAAGCAUCCAAAAUAGUAGUUGCACGUGACUAUUUUGAUCUUUUACUAAUUUUUGUGCUAUAUAAUGUAAUUGUUUUAUCCUUGUGUACAUGCCAUUAUUCUACCCUAAAACUUAUUAUCUUUUUUCUUCAUAAUUCAGCUACAUCUCAAGACAACAAUCUACCAAAAUCAUCACUCCAACUUUUAGUAUUUUAGUUGAUGAGGGAUUGAUUUGAGCUUGAAGAGCUCUAAUUUACAAAGACUGUUUGAUAGAAUAAACAAUAAUCUACAGAAAUGAUCUUCACUUGAUUACAACUUUUCGGCAUCGCCGUGUUGUAAGAUUGAGUGUCUCAAUUUGUGAAGUGCAUAGCUCUGUGGUGCUUCAAAAUCCUGUCCUCUGAUGAAUUCCGUUUGCACUGUGACACUGUUUUGGAGCUAUUUAUGUAUUGGAACGAUAUCCAAUAUUGAUCGAUAUGUUGGUGAUGAACUAAGGUAACAUUUUCUAGUUUAGGUAUUGAGUAGAUUUCUCUGUUUUGCAUCUUGGAUAGGUCUAGAUCGUUCAUUAUUGGAUUCCUGUAUUAAGAUCCAAUUCUUUUUUGAUUUUUGAGUGAUAUUUGAUUAUAUUUUGGCUUAAUUACAAUGUAUGAUCAAGUGCUAAAUUUAGCCUAGGAUAUAGAAUUAUCUUGAAAUGUUUUUAAUAUCAUCUAAUAUUUGAUUACAUAUAGUUGCUUCCUAGCUAAAUCUUAAUACUAUUAGCUAACUAGUUAUGAUGUGUUUUAUUCAAGUAAUAAAUUAGUUAAUUAGCUAAAUAGGACUAACGUAACCUAGCUUCUUUAGGUAAUAUGGCCAAGAUUAAUUGAUACAAGAAUAAUCAAUGGAGUCGUGUGAUCAAGUUGCAAGAUAUGGAAACAACUCAAAAACCUAGGCAAGAGCUUUUAACUAUCCGAAUUCAAUUCCAAUUUAUUUCGUGACAAAUUUACUUUAGUUUGCAACAAUCACUACAAAAUCCUCCAUCACUGGUUAUUGUCCUUGGCUUUAAACUGUUUAAUUGAUUCAGCAAUUCACAUGUUUAAUGUGCUCCACCCGAUCUUGUCACUAUGACUAAGAAUGUAGUGAUGGAUACCGUUGAUUGAUUCAUUUAGUCCAUAUAUGUGUAAUGAGAUUCAAUCGGACUAUUGGAAAUGACUUAUCAAAGCAUAACAAAAUUUACAACUGGUUGAUACAUGAACUGUUUGAAUUGAGCAACAUUUUUUUUUUAAAAAUUAUAUCUCAAUUCGAAUUUUACUUAAAAGUUUUAAAUACACACAAUUAAUUUCAAGCUUAUGCGUUUAUUCAUCACUAUUUUUUUUUUUUCCUUUUUUAAGAAAGCAUUUAUUCAUUACUUAAAAACAUUAAACAACAAACAUAUACAUACCGAUACAUAUCAACUUGAGAAAUCAAGGCCAUUAUUUGAAGUAACAAAAUACGUUUAGUUGGUAUGCCUUUAGCUUGAGGUUCUACAUCAUCAACCACGGCCUCACCAGCCAAUCUAGCAGCAAUGGACGCAACGACCACGGACGCAGCUACAACAACGGUUCCUGCAACCAUGGAGGCAUUGUUGGAGGAAUCUAGCUUGUCCUCUUCCAAAACCAUGGCGGUUGACUUCGUCAUGAAGUUCAUCAGUUUCCAUAAUAGCUUCUUCUACACAAAUAUAUAAUGUUAAAUUACAUUAGAAUCAACAUAUAUAUGAGAAGACACUAAUGAAACGAGUAGAAGUAAUAUAAUAACUACAUUAUUGCAAUAUGUAUCAUCAUCUAAUAAAGGUGUGGAUAUGAAGUAAAACUCACUGAAUUUUACAUCCCUAGCCGUAACCGUGUUUACAUCCUCUGAAGAGAGGAUGACAAUGGAGAACAGAAGACCGAGGAGGAUGAAAGGCUUGGAAUUCAUUAUCUUUGUAAAUUGGAAUAAUAAAAAGUAUUUGAAGAUGAGAUGGAGAUGAGAAUUAGUUUGGAUUUCAAAUGUAUUUAUAGUCUGAUGAUUGAAGAAGGUUAAGGUUGAAAUAAGGAUAUGAAUUGCUAGAGUAGUAAAAGUUUCCUUAUUACUAUAAUUUGUCGUUUUCUCAUAAUUUACAUUUGAAAAUAUGAUCAUAAAACUUUGUUACCAUUGAUGACGUUGCCUCUCGUUCAAAAACACGUAGAAAUUUAAUUCUUUAACGGAUGCCUAUAUAUUAUUUUGAUUUAUUCUUUUAGUACGAGUUAAAGAGCUAAUCAUAAUGAAACGUGAGUUGUUUGAUAAAGUUUCGUAAAGAAUUUGUUCAGUAACUAUUUGUGUUUUCUUAAAUAAAAUAAAAUAAUAAAAAAAUGUUUGCUAACAAUUACUGUUCUUGUGUAAUUAUUCAUUUGUGUUCAAGAGGGCUUUCACUCUAGUCAUUUUCAUGUAUGCUUCUUUUGGUCUAUUUUCUCGAUUAUUAUUUAAUUUUAACAAAAUGGGUAUUACAUGUAAUAGAAAUUUAAAAUUGUGUCAAUUUAGUUGAGAUACUUUAGUGCACUAUAAAAUUACAGUACCUAUCUUUUUAGAUGAACUUAACUCAUCUGACAUUUGAGUAUACUAAUAACCUCGAGAUUUAUGGUUCAAAUAUACUAACAGUCUUUGGCGUAUGCGUUUAUUCAACAAUUAUUACUUAAUUAGACUCGAGUACUGCACUUCAUUAAUACUAAAUGAAGCUUUAGGUAGUACACCCAAUUAAUCUCAAGCCUAUGGAUUUAUUUUCAUUACUUGACUUCUCUCCGUCAAUCCUUACUGUUCAAAGGUUUUUAGAUAAUCAACACAAGUAACUUAGUUAUAUUGGUUUUAAAAUUUAAUGGGUAGUUAUGUUGGAAAGGAAUUUUUGGAGGUAGGAGAAAAUUUGAAAAAGAAAAUUGAUGAAAGAGGGUACUUCUGUUUAUUAGGACACUUUUUAUUUUUUGGCUUCAUGCGAGUGGUAGGACAUCCCUCCUAAUUAUACUAGUUGGCACUUAGCUUGAUACCCCUAAAUGUACGUAUGACUAGAAUUUUGCCAACACGUUCUUAUCUAUUGGUUAAAAUGACUCUAAAUGUAUGUAUGACUAGAAUUUUGCCAACACAGUCUUCAUCUAUUGGUUAAAAUGACUCUAAAUGUACGUAUGACUAGAAUUUUGCCAACACAUUCUUCAUCUAUUGGUUAAAAUGAUUCUAUAGAACAUUCUUUACAAUUAUACUUCUUUAGAUAUUUCUUCAAUCUUCUUUGAAUAUCGAUCUCCUACAAAAUAUUAUUAAUUUCUCUAAAAUAAUGUAGUAAUUAAUACUUUCUAGAAAUUGAACUUUUAUUUGUGCUAGACCCAAAUAUUGUUAAUCCAAAAUCAAGUUCAUAUUUCAACAGGUUCCAAUCACAACAAACACACUUAUAAUUUUUAACUUUUUUAACUUUUGUACGAUUAUAAAAGGAUGGUGGCUGAAUAGAGAGUAAGAUUGAAACAAUGCUAGAAUAUAUCGAGAAUAAUAAUAAUGAAAAAAAGGGAGAGAUUAACACACACAUGAAUUAAGGUAAAAACCAAGGCAAUGAUCAUAUAAGAACUUAACUAGGAGUAACAAAUUUUCUUUUGUCACAUGAGAAAUCGAUGAUGGAAGUCGUACUAGAUAAUGACAUCUUUACUCGCAAAUAUGAAUUGGUACACCCCAUUGUUAUUAAAUAACAAUGGUUCGAAAUUCGAUGUUAGUUUAUGUUUCUAAAAUCGGGUCAGAAAUCUUUAGAUUUCAUCAUGUUAAGUUGGAUAUCCCUAACGCGAUGUCAAGAGUUAUGAUUCGAAAAUUAGGCAUUCGUAAAAUCGGGUCAGGGCUUGACUCAUGGCGUCAGACUUGCAUAGUUUUCCUAUUACAAGUGAUGGUGAAGUCAAGAGAAAGUCAAAGUGUGCCACUCAUGAUACGAAGUGUCAUUGAUGAUACGAAUUGCCAUCGAACUAGGGAUGUUUGACCGCCUGGUCAAGAAUGUCAUUCCGACUUUGAGGUUAACUAUUAAUGAAGAAAAGGAGCUAUGACUUCAGCAGAAGGUUAUAAAACACGAUAAGUUUGCGAGGGGCAGGUUAAAACGGAAGCAUACCUUUGUGAAAGGGCCAUUAUGAUAAUUUUCCCUAAAAAGAGUCGCAUUAUUAUAACUUAUAAUUGUAUAUUUAAGUGAACUUAAAAAAUAGUUCCAUUAUAACUUGUGAUUCAAGAUUUAAGUAAAUUGAAAGAUACAACAAAAUAUGCAAAAAUAACCAAACUUGUUAAAAUCAUAAUUUCCAAUUUCCUAAAUUAAAAAAUGUCUUUUUACUUCUACGUUAUUGUGGAUCUAACGAGUCAAAAGUUAAUUAUGUUAUAAUCUAACCACUCACCUCAAAGUUAGAUAGUAAGAACAUUAAGCUAGUUGAUUAUUUAAGAUGCAACAAUCAUAUAUACUUUUUUAACCUUUGUUAUAAGCUUGGACGUAGUUUCAAUACUCUCUCACAAAACUUAUUAAAGAUUGAUACAUACAUCCUACUAAACAGCUAUAAUCACAUUUGUUCAAUAUUUUUAAGAAAUCUUUUAAAACUAAACAUAUAGUACUGUGAUACUUAGAAAGUCGAUUCAAACACACUAGCCUAUUGUAUUAAUUUAGUUUAUUCUUAAGCUUUUAAUUUUUUUUCUGAAAAAGAUACGAAUUUUACUUGGUCUUCUUAGCCUUUAAAUUUGAACAUUCCAUUAUUUAUGGUUUGAUAAAAAAAAAAAAAAUCAAGCUAUUCAAUAUGCCUUUGCCAAAGAAAAAAAAAGGAAAAAUUUUUUGCCAGAGGGACUAGUGUCCACCAUUACAGUAUAUUUAUUCUGCAUCAAUACAUCAAAUAACUUUGAUCAUCUCUCUCAUUUAGCUCUAUUUCUAGCUAAGAAAAACUCAAUCUGAAAUAUGAGAGAAAAAUGAUCAUAAAUGAAAAUGAAGAUACAAAAAAGUCUUAAAAUUUUUAUUCAAAGAGGUGUGAAGUUAUAUUUAGUCAGAAGGAUUGUGUAAUCGUUCGUGAAAAUUUGAUGUUUUCCUUUAGCAUGAGAUUUUCAAACUUCUUUAGUUAAAUAAAUGGUUCCACUUCUUCGAACUCGCUAUCCUAACUAUAUAUUUUCUUAGGGGUUUACAUUGGUAACUUCAUUAGCAUAGUUGCAACAUUGGAUGCAUCGACCAUCACGAUUGAAACCACAGCAACCAUGUGAGCAACCAUUUCCACCUCCACCUCUACCGUACCCACCGCAUCUAUAGUAAUUUCCGCAGCCAGGGGUGUCCGCGGAGCUGCCGCGGCCGUCACUUAAAAGGUCUCUUGCUGCCACUUUUGGGGACAGGACAAGAACGACUACGAUGGAGAAAACAAGAGUCGUCACAAAAGGAAAAUGCUUGGAGUUGGAAUAAUUCAUUUUAAAAUGUUCUUUUCUUUCUAGUAAUUAACUUGUAAUUUUGGAGAGGGAAUGAGAAGAUUUUGCACCCUUCUCAUUCUAUUUUAUAGGCAGAAAUAAAAGACAAAAUUAGCUCCAAUUCAAAUAUGGCAACUAAAAACGACUAACCCCAUUCAAAUUUCUUUCUCUUUUUUCUUUUAAGUCAACCAUGUGAGAGUGAUGGAUAUUCGUGCAUCCAAAGGACAUAUAUGUAUUGGAGCUAAACCAUUGCUUAAAUUGACAUUUAAAUGAAAAAUAGAAUGAAUUGAAAAAAAAAUCCUUUUAGUGCUUCAAAUUAAAAUUAAAUACAAAUAAUAUUUAAGUGCAUUUGUAUCAUUGUUGAACUUUUUUUGUAUCCAACUCCAACCAGUACACUUCAUUUAGAAGGAAAAAAGAAAACAGGUUUGCCAAACUAUACAUAUGCACACAUAGUACAUAUAGUUACAUAUUUUCACAUACUCCUUUUUCUUUAAAAAGAAAUUUCUAAAUAACUUUUCCUCGAAGUGGGUUGGGCGAAACUAUUAAUAUUGUUAUGAUUUAUGUCAUUUCGUAGGGGUAGCUUUCAAUUCUUCUAUUAAAUGCUCUUUUGUCUGCCAAGUUCACUUAACAAAUCAAAUAAUACAAAAUGAACAUACAUUAUUGAUAGGUGAAUUCAAGGUAUGCUCUUCUUUUCGCAACUCCAUAAUAAGAAUAAAGAAUAAUUUUUAUAAAAGAGAAGAAUUUACCAUUGAAUAAUUGAGUGGAAAGAAGAAUAUAAGUGUAACUUAAAGAUGCAUUUAGUUAAUAUGGAAAAAAUUGAACUCGUUGCAGCUUAAUUUGAAUUUCUAUUAUCAAAGUACUGCAUCCCUCUAUGAACACAUUUGUCGUUCAAAGCAAAAGGCUAAGAAGAAGAUUAUCAUCUUUAAUUCGGUGCUGUCUCCCUUCUACCAUUUGGAACGAAAGAAAUAACAGAAUUUCCAACGAUAAAGAAAAAUUCAUUUAUAAAGUUUAGAAAGAUAUUUAGGCUUUAACCGGUCUCUAGACUCGCAAAUUCCCCGGUUCAUCAACUAUGGUGCCAACACUAUAUUUGUUCCUUUUGGGUUGUUAGGGGCUUCUCUCUAGCCCUUUUUAUUUUUUCUGCUUAAUUCUUGUAGUUAUUUUUUAUCAUUAAUGAAGCAGAAAUAAUGAUGGUACUAAAGGGUGUUGAUCUAGUAGAGAUGCUCAAGUGAUCCAAAAUCGUAUUCUUAAAAAAAAAAAGAAGAUGGAUUUAAGUAUUAUUAUAAAACAGUUUAAAAGCAAAUAUAAUUAAAAAUAAAAAAUAACCAUAUAAUUCUCUUCUUUCCAAACUCUUUCUAUUAUAACCUCAAGUAUAAUGUUCAACUUGCCACGAAAAAGUUCUCUCGUAUAAGCCUACUGUAAACUUGUAGUCUAGGAUAUUUAAUAGUGUAAGAUUUCAUCUUAAAACCAAUUGAGAAUGAGAUGAGUAACUAUCUGUUUUAUAAUGAGUAUAAAUACAAAUCUUUAGUUUUUUCAACCCGGGAUUCUUAAUCGUUGAUCGGAUUUCAAUUUCAUUUUAUUGGAUCAAAUACAUGUUUGGACUCUUUAUAUGGAUCAUGACACCAUAUUCAAUCGACAACAAAAAGACUAACUCGUCUAUCUUAUAAGUAUGGUUAGUCUCAUGGUUUUUUCGAUGUACGUUUCUCAAUAUUUGAACAUAAGAUAAGAAAAAACCUGAUACUUUUUUUUGGAGAAAGCUACCAUAGGUAGCGAAGAAUAUGCCUGGAAUGGCUAGUUUGUAAUCUCUGUUAAAUAAAAUGUAAAUUUUAACUGAAUGGUAUGAGCUUUAAAUACCAUAUCAGAAUCAUUUCACUUUAUAACUAGGUGUUGCUUUUGUAAAGAAAAACUCAUGAAAUCUUCGAGAAUAGUCACUUUUCUAUAGAUGUGGACGAUUUUGUUGAACCAUGUAGAUCACUGCAUUCACCUUCCUCUUCUCUUUGCAUUUGUUUGCUUUUAUUUGUGAGAUUUUGAACCUAGCAAAACAGAUCGCCGUUGAAGAGUUUAAAUAUAGGUUGAAGAAAAAGAAAGUUUAUAAAGAAUUUUGUUUCUGUGUGUUGGAAAAAGAGAAUAUAAUAGCAAAAAUGAUUUUGUGUCAAAACUAAACAAUUUUGCUUCAUUAUUUCUCACUUACAUGGUUGUCAUUCAGCAUUAAAACAUAGAAGCUUUCGCAUCAUUCAUUUCACCAACCUAAUUAGUAGCAUUUUGGGCUUCAUUCCUUAACUUUCUUCUUUGUUUUGGGCCUGUAAAAGAAAAUAACCCAACAAAAGUGUGGUGUACGAGCAUUAAAGAUUUAUCAAGAAAGCCCUUUUUUCAGAGCUUCAAGAUUCUGAAUUUCGAGUAACAAUGGCAGUAGCAAGGUAUGAGAUAGAGAAUUUUUAUAGAAAUGGUGAUUUUGGUUUGUGGAAAGUCAAAAUCAAAGCCAUUCUAGGCCAACAGAAGGCUCACAAGGCCCUUUUGGAUCCAUCAACCUUACCAAAUAUAGUCACAACACAAGAAAAUGAAGAUUAGGAAUGGUAGCUAUAGAACCUUGGUUUUGAAUUUCAAAAACAAGUUAUUGACCAAGACACUGCCUACAAGAUGUGCCGCUAAGCUGGAAGGAUUUUUUUGCCACCAAAGAUCUCCAAAACAAAAUGUUCUUGAGAGAAAUUCUUUACAUUCUAGAUGGACUCUUGGAAGAGCUAGCCUCACUAACAACCUAGAAUAUGAAUUUAGAAAAUAGUUUAUGAUUUCAAGGAUCUUGGAGAAAAGGUAGGUGAUGAGAAUGAGGCCUAUGUCCCUUUGAGUUCACUAACAUAAACUAGAGAAGUGAAAAAAGCUUUGAAGUGUGGCAGUGGUAUCGUACAGUCUCUAAUGUAUAAUCCUCCGAUGCUUUCUCUUAGUUUCUAACUUUGACUUGAGGGCUGAUGAGCGCGCUUAUUUUGAAACCAAAAGAGUCUAGGUCUUUAAUUUGUAGAUGGGGAAGAGAUGAUCAAUUUGAGAAGAGACAAUUUGUUUGUUUGUUGGAGAAGAGUUGGUCUAUCCAUUGAGAGAUGCCUAGUUCGUUGAAGAAGAUCACUUUGUUGAAUUCUGAAUUCUCUUAUCUAUAGAUCUAUGUGUGAAGGUCCCAAAUGAAGGUAGUCUCUUUUAUUUAUACAGAGUUUUGGGAGGACUAUAUUUUGAUUGUUUUGUGUUUAUUUCAUAAAUAGAGCUCCUUUACUUCACCAUCUUCUUAUUCGAACACUUGUCAUAUUUGUUGGGAUUCUCUCAUUCUGAUGUUUCUUUCCUCCUUUACUCAUGCAGAAAUUUGUAAGAAAUUGAGAGUUUGGAUAGGUUCCAUCCUAAAAAUAUUGGAAGCUUAGCUUAUAAGAGCUAGUGGAGUUUUUAAUUACUAAAGCAACAACAAAUUGAGCGGGUGUAAUCAACUUACGAGUUUAGACUUCAUGUAAUCAAUUAAUAGGUGGAAUUUCACGUGUAAUAUCUUCAUAUAAGAAGUGUGUGAAUUUAGACUUAAGCCACAACCUUCUAAUUAGCGAAAUGCCAUUGAUUUUCAUUUAAAUUUUUGCUCUACCGUUUCUUUGAUUUAUCGUUAAAAUGAAUUUAUCGACAUCAAAUUCCAUUGUUUGUUCAUAUAAAUAUUUCUAUAGUCAAUUACACGAAACAUUACCUAGCGGUGGGAGCGUUUUUAUGGAAAGAAAAAAAAACAAAAACACCACCGAUAGAAAUUUAUAAAUUCUCUUGAAAAAUAAAUUUAACUUUUCUUUUAAAUCUAUAAUUUAGUGAUAAAAUUUAACAUUGAUAGACCGUAAGCUACACAAAAUAUUCAACAAUGAAACAAUCUUUCUUAUUAACAAGUACACUAUAAAAUAACAAAAUGAUAUACAUAUUAUUCUAAUUACUUUCCAUAUCAAAUUCAACUUUUUUCAAGUCUAUCAGUGAUAAAAACUUAUCAUCAAUGGACUCUAAUAAAAAAAAAAAAAAAAAAAAACAAUGGAACUACACAUUUCUUACUUCAACUUUCUUCCAAUCUACCAAUGAAAGAGACCGAAACAUAUCACAUAUAGACAAUCAAAUACACAACAAAAACAUAAUUGAAACUAUAUAUUGUCUUAUUUUUCAUUAAAAAUUCUUUAAGUCUAACACUAAUCGAAACUCAUGAUCGAUAAAUUAUAAAGAACAGAAAAAAAACAAAAACAAAACAAAAGAAAAAGAAACUAUGCGUUCUCUAACUUUUUAUGAAAAUAUAUUCAACUUUCUUCUGCUCUAUCUACUCUAUCACUGAUAGAAACAUAUAAUCGAUAAACAAUACUUAUCAACAAUCUCAAAAAACAACAUUUUAACUAUGUAUUGUCUUACUUUUCAUGAAGAUAAAUUCAAUUUUCUUCAUGUCUCCUGGUGAUAGAAACAUAUAAUUCGUAGACUCGAAACAAAAAAAACAAUAAAACUACAUUUUCUCACUUUUCAUGAAAAUAUAUUUAGUUUUUAAAAAUUUAUUGCUCAUGAACACUAAUCAACAACAUCAAAAAAAGCAGCAUAAAAAACUGUAUAUUUUACUUUUCGUGAUAAUGAAUUCAACAUUCUUCAAGUUUAUUGUGAUACGAACCUACUCGAUAGACUUUAGUUGAACAAGUUAACAAAAAAAAAAAAAAAAAAACACACACACACACAUGAAACUAUACAACACUUCUCAUGAUAAAUAUUAAAUUUUUUUCUAACAUUGAUAGACCCUUAUAGAAAAAACAGCAAAGAAACUAUAAAUUUUUUCUUACUUUUUAUGAAAAUAAAUUCAACUUUUAUUAUUAGGGAUAGAAACCUAUCUAGAUUCUAAUGAACAAAAAAACAAUACAAUGGCAAUCACUUUAAAUAUAUUUUUUUAAUGAUGACAUGGUUUUAUAAUUGAUGAAAGUUUAUCGAUAAUAAAAAUUUAUCAUUUAUAGAAGCAUUAACGAUCCAUUUCUACGAAUUAUUCAAAACUAAAAAAAAAAUUGUGAAACAUGGUAAUAUGUUUUCAAGGAUAUGCGUAUUUUCAUCGUCAAUAGAAGUUUUAUCGAUGAUAACAGUGUAUCAUUGAUAUAGUUUGGAACUAUUAUUAAUCAAUUUUUUUUUAUCAUUUAUUGAAAAUAAAGAAAAUCAUGAACCACACCAAUAUAUUUUCAAUGAUAUGCUUUUAUUGUUGAUAACUUUUAUCGUUUAUAAAAGUAUAUCAUUGAUAGUGUGCUAUCACUAAUAAAUUUGGGAUACAAAAAUAUUUGUGAUACAGGUAUAGCAACAAAAAUUUGCUAUCAUCCAUAAAUCGAUAUUGUUUUUUUUAUAAAAUCAUAUUUAUGAUACAAAAGCAUUGAUGAUAAUAAUAUGGUAUUAAUGAGAUAGAUUUCUAUAAAAUGAGUCUAUUAUCAAUAAUAAAUUGUUAUCAUGUCUAUAAAUGAUAGACUUUAAAAAGUGAAAAUUUUGUGGCUUCAAUGAGGAUUAAAGAAAUUUUUUGUUAUAUUUACAAUUAGUUUUUUUGAAAAAAGAGUCUAUCAAUGAUAAAAUUUUUAAAGCAAUUUAUAUCAAUGAUAAACUUCUAUAAGUGAGAAUUUCGUGCCUCAAGCAUAUUUUGAUGUCUUUAAUAGACUUUUUUUUUUUUUUUUGCACAUUUACAUGGGUUGAAGGUAAAUUUUGUUAUAUUUACCAUUAGUUUUAAGUUUUGCUAUUUUCUUAAUAAUAAUUUUAACCUUGUUUUGGUGCAUAUGCCAGAACCCCUUAAAUUAAUCUAUUUUUAAAAUAGAUUUUUAUUUAAGUUUGAUCCAAUUUAUUUUUUAAAAUAUAGAAUGACCAUUGCAUUUUUUUAUUGGCCAAUUUCCAUGUCUUUAAUUAAUAUUAAUUUGAGUUCAUCUAAAAUUUUAAUAAGUCUCAAAUUAAUAGGGUGAGAAUUUGUGAUUAAUUGAAAAUUUCUUAGACGACAAAAAAAAAAAAGAUUGGCCAUUUAUUUUAAGUAUAUAAAUGGCGAUGCAAAUUAAUAUAUACACGUUCAAUAAAAAAUAUAAAGAGAGGAAUUUUCAAAAAUAACAAAUUUUACAAAAUAUUUACAACUUAUAGUAAAUUCUAUAACUAAUAGUCAUUGAUAUGCUAUUGUGAUAGAAGACUAUCGUUGAUAUAAUUCAAAAUUUUGUUUUAACUUGUUAAUAUUUUAAUUUAUUUUUAUAUUUUUAGAAAUGCUCCAAAUAUAAAAAGAGAACUAUGUAAAGAAAUGUCACAAAGUUAGAAAUUAUCUUUUAGGAUGCCUCCAAAAUUUUAAGGAUGCUCUUCGUCCGUGCAUUAUAGAAUGUUCGAAAAUCUGUAGUUGUUGCAUUUUUAUUGGAAAAAAUGUAAAGAAGUAUUAAAUUUUUUUAAAAAAAUUGCAUUUGGUUUUGAGUUAAAAAAGAAGAGGAAAUAAGUAUUAAAUUUAAAAAAUGGUUGGUGUUGAAAUAAGUAUUAAAAUAAAUAAAAUAUUAUAUAUAUAAAAAAUAAGAAAAUUUGUCGAUAAUAGAAAAUUUGACAAAAUAUUUACAUUUUUUUAUGGAAAAUAAGGCUUAAUAAAUUUUAGAAUUUUUUUUAGUGAUUUUUUCUUUGGAGUAACUAGUUUGUUUUUAGUUCUAUUUGUAAAAUAACUCUAUAAAAUAAUAUAAAUAAAAAUUAAGAAAAUAAAACAUAAAAAAUCUCACAAACUCCCCAUUCUUCUAUUUAUUUGAAAAAAAUUUCAACUUGUAUCUUACUAAACUCAAUAAAUAUCACUACUUAUAGACAAUUUGACAAACUCGAUUAUAUUGACUACUACGAGUUUGAUAUCUUCAAUACAUAUAAUAAAAAAAUUGUGAAAUAACACAUGGCACAAUAGGACACCAACCAGAAUGAUAAUUGAUAAUGGAAAACAUUUUUUGUUGUCAGAGACACAAAAUCAAAUAUUUCCACUCAAUCAUAUUUUACUAAAUUGUUUUAGAACUAAUAUUUAAAUAAACAUUUUGGAAAUGUGAAAUAUUCAUUUAAUUUUUAUUUAAAAAGCCAGAUUUUGUUUUUGCUUUUCGAAUACAACUAAGAAUUGAACGAUCGUAUUUAAAAAAAUAUGCAAAUUAUUGAAAGUUAAAAAAAACACAAUAACAAAAAAAACAUAUAACAGAUGUACCAAACCGAAACUCUAAUUUUUUAAACAUUAAACAUUAAAAAUCAAAUAGUUAUUAAACGAUACACAAACAUUUAUUUUUAAUAGUACAAAUUAUAAAGGUACAGUGCAUGUGGAAGUGUGUUGUUUUAAUCGUUGAAUUUUCCAAUACCAUAAAAGAGAAACGCAAUGACACUGGCUGAGUUUUAGUCGUUUCCAAUAAAUAUUACUUUCUUGAAAUCUAUUUUUAUCAUUAAAUUUAAAAUUUAUCAAUGUUACAAUACGUGAAAUCCUAUAGGCUUCUCUAAGUAUUCAACGACCAACGAAAAGCUUACACUCACGAGCACGUGACAUUCUACUUUUAACCUUAAGAGAAUAAACAUACCCAACUAAUUACGACUAAGUUAAAUUUAUUUGACAAGAUACAUAUAAUUCGAACCUUGCUACUAAAAGUAUUAACAAGUUUUUUUUUCAAUAUUGCGCGAAUAAAAAUUUGAACAUGUUUAAACAAUAUAUGUAAAUAAUGUUUUAACCUAUUGAACCAUGCUCAAAUGAAAAGGAAGUAUGAGGUUACAACAAAUUUGACCAACUUUUCGUAUAGCAACAAUAUUAAAGACUUGAUUAUAUCAACUUUUCUAAUGUUUAUAAAAACUUUUUUUUACAUCUCUAAAGAACUUUUUCUUUCAAAUGUGGGGUUAGGGCAAUAUAUUUUUAUAAUGUCGUUUGGUGUGGGUGUAGCUUUCAGUCCUUCUAUCAAAUUGGUUUCUUUGUACGCCAACUUUGACUUAACAAGUCAAGAAUAAAACGAAUUUCAAAAGAAAAAAGGACCAAAUUCCACUUUAAUUAAUUACCUCUAUUCCAACAUAUCAUGUAGAAAUUUUCAUACCAUGAAAAAGAUGUAUUAUAAACUUUGGAAGGGGUUAAGAUUUUAAGAAUCCUAUUUUGUGCAGUUUUGUAUUUGGUUUUUUGUACACCUAAUAUAUGCUCUGUAUUUAUUAUAUUAUCUCAUAAGCUUGGUAUGCGUGAGAGUUAGAGGUCCAAGAAUACAUGUGUAACCCUAAAACUAAUUUUUAGUUAAAAGAAACAAAUUAAUCUAUAUAAUUGACAUUAAAAAGUUUAUUAGUGAUAGAUUUUGGUUUUAAGAAUUAUUGAUAGAAAUUUCUGUUUGACUAACUUCAUCCUUUCCUCCCUCAUUUCAAAUCUCUUUUAUUCUCAAUUUUGAUCACUGACUUUUCUUUUCCUUUCGUAACUUGCUUGUAAGUAGAUUUUUAAAAGUUUUCGUCACCUAAAAUAAUAAAAUAGAGAAAAGCAAAUCAAUGUUUAAAAUUUGAGUGAAAUUAAAGGCUAUGACCUUUCAAAGUUUAAACAUAUAUACAAAAUAGUUUUCAUGUUAUAUUAUAAGUAAAAGUCUUAAAACUUUGUUUAAUAUAUAUAAUUAGUUAACAUGUUAGCUUCAUGAAAAACGUAUAAAAAAUGAAGGAUCAUGAAAUAUUUGGUACAACAAGUCUUGCAUGUAACGAAGAUAAUAUUAUUAUUUGCAAUUGCAUGAAGUUUCACGCAAACUAAGAAAAAAGAAGAACGAAGAAACAAACUCUUGCAUGUCUUUUAGUUUUCUUUUUCUAUUUCCUUGUUUUUGAUUUUUCCUAUACCACAAAGAAGAGAAGUGGAUUUAUUAGAUACUUUAGAAUAUCUCAACUCAAAUACAUCUAGUAGUGAUGCAUUCAUUCAAUAAAAAAUAGCUUUGCACGAAACAAAAAGAGGAAUCUAUAAAGCAAAAUAAUUGAAUCUUGUGCUAAAUGUCACCAUGUGUCCGAGACGAUGCAGAGUGACCAACGUUUUCAAAUUAAAUCGUUAGUUUUAAAUCAAAUCUUGGACUACAAAAAAUGUGUUCUCUCCUCAAGAAUUUUAGAAAAUCGGAUUUUCAAAUUUUCUAGAUUCUGUCUUAGAAUUUUGUUAAAGGAAAAUGAUAUAUAAGUUAAUAUAAAAGAUAGGAAACCUUAUGAAAUGAUUGAUUAAAAUUUGAAUGUUUGAAAAGCAUAAAAAAUAUAUAUAUAACAUUAUAGACAAAUUUUCUAAAUUAUUAAAAAGGAGUUUUUAUUUUAAAACAUAGAGAACUUUAAAUUGGUAGGAUUUUAAAACAUUGAAAAUAUUAAUUAAGAAAUAGUUGAAAUUUUUAUAUAAGAAAAAAUAUGAGGCUUAAUAGAAAAAUUAAAUAAGUAAAAAUAAGGAUAAAUAAGCAUCAUAGAAAAUUAUGCAAAUAUAAAAUAACAUAUUGAGAUUUUAAUAAAAACAUAUGAGUGAUCGAUCUAGAACUUUAAAAGAAUCAAUUCCUUCACCUCAAUAAUUCUAGAAAAUCGAACUCUUAAAUUUUUUAUAUUUCGUUUUCGAAAAUAAAUAUGCUCGAAACAAAAAAUUGUAAAACAUAUAACUUAACGAACUUUUAAAUGUCUCAAGAGAAAUUUAACAUGUAAAUAAAUAUUAAAUUGAACAUGAAAGUAGCCAUUAAUGAAAAAUAUUAUGUAAACAACCAAUAUCAUUUAAAGAAGCAUAACCAUACAUUAAUAAACAUUAAAAAAACACAUUAACAUUCUAUAGAAAAAUGAUUGGAAAUCGAACUUCUAAAGAAUCGACUUCUCACCUUAAAAAUUCUAAAAAAUUGAUCUUCCAAAUUUUGGAGAUUAAGAAAAUUAAAUGUUAACAAAUUUAAACAAUUAUUAGCAAUAACAUAUUAAAUUGACCACAAAACAAGAGUGUAAAAUAUAUUAAAUAACAUAUAAAAGAAGAUAAUAUUAAUUAAAGAAGCAAUAAUCAAUGCCAUAAGAAGAAAAAAAUAAUUAAAUAAAUAAAAGUGCUAAUUACAAAAAAAGUAAUGAUACAAUAUAUAGAAAAUAAAGCUUAAGAAUAAAUUAAAAAAAUAAAAAAGAGAUAAACAACGAGAUAGGAAGAAAUAUGUUAUAAUAUAUAUAUAAGAGAAGUUCAAAAGAUAAUAAAUAAAUAAUUAUAAGAGAAAGAAAAGUAGAUAAAUAAGAACAAGAAAAAUAGAUAAAUAUUUAAUCAUUUAGUUUUUGUUUUGCAUUUCUUUAAAUGGAAGCUUGAAGAAAAAUAAAUAAAGUAAUGAGAAUAGUAAGAAUAAUAAAGAAUAAAGAAUAAAGAACUUUGAAGAAAAAUAAACAAAAUAAUAAGAUGAAGAAAAAGAAAAGAAAAGAAAGAAAGGUUGAAAUCCUAACUCACGUUUUAAACUGUGGAUCAUUUCCACCAAAACUCUACCAUAUACCUACAUUUAAAUUAGAGUUAUAUUUUUAGAAAAUUGUAUCAGAUGACAAGAAAAAAUUAAAAAAAUACAUUCUACAGUACCCUACAUUUAACUAAAAAAUAUUUUAAUUUAUUUUUUGUGUUGCAUCUCCCAUGAUCAAAAAAGAAAGAAUUAUCAAUGGCAAAAAAAAAGCUUCUUCAAAUGGCUAGUUUUUUUUAAUUUGAAAAUAAUACUAAUUUUGACCUACAUCUCAAAAUGGCAUGGAGCCUCUAAUAAACAAAACAAAAUUAAAAAGAUACUAUAUUUAGUAUUUUUCCACCUACUUAAUUAGACUAACUAAUUGAUUUAGUUACUCCAACUAAACAAUUAGUUAAAUAAAUUUAUUUUUUACAAAGUUGGUUAAUCACAAAAUUAAAAAUUUUAGCCAAUUUAAAGCAAACAUUAAUCUAGCAAUUCAUCCAACAAAAUUAGGUGACUGAAAUAAUUUUGGUACCCCAUACUCCAUAGAGCUGACAAGAGAGAGUAGUGCUCCUGAUUUCAUUGCUUCUUUUUAUAUUAGAUAGUAGUACAUUGUUCUAUUUUUAAAAAUUAUUUACAACAUAUACCAAAUUCUAUCACUCAUAGUCAUUCAUAUGAUAUAGUGAUAAAAAAAUAUGAUUGGUAGAAUCUUUCGUAAUAUUUUAAUUUAUUUUGUAAUUUUUAAAAAUAUCUCUAUUUAAAUAAUAUUUUGUUUCUUACGUGUUUGAGUUUUCUUUUCCCUUUGUUUUUGGCUUCCUCUCUCUCUUUUCUCAUAUUAAAGUAAUGCUCUUGAUUUGUGUGAGAUUGUUUUUCUCUUCCUUUAUUAUUUUGUUUUUUAUUGUGGGGUUAUUUUCUACUUCUUUCUUUUAACAUUUGGUUUUAAGUCCUAUGGUUGAACUUUGGCAAAUUGGAAAUGGUAGCCUCCAAGCACCGUAAAAAAAACAUUAGAUAUUGCUCUUGCUUUUAAAGCAUUAUAUUUCAAGUAACAACACUUACGAUUUAGACGUGGGUAACAUAAAAGUUUUGAGAGAUUAUUCUUUUGUAAUUGGGUCAGGGAGAGAACUGCUUUAUGUGAUUGUUUAAAUUUAUCUCAAUAGAGACUUCAAAUUCCCCAAAUUUAUUAUAUAAGUGAAACGUAAUAAUUAAUUAAUUAGACACGGCAUUGGAUAGUUUAUAUAAAUAAUUAAUAAUAAAGCAGCCACAUUUCUUUGAUCAGAACCAUAUUAUACGUUGUUCAUUGUAAUACGAUUAACAUAUAUAAUAAUUAAUCUCACGAGCAUAUAUGCAUUUAUUCAUAACUUACAAACACCAACUUCAGAAAAUAAAGCCAUUUUAUUUAAUGUUACACAAUAACAUGUGCUUAAUUGUUAGGCUUAGCUUGAGGCUUUCCAUCAACAAUACCAGCCUCACCAGCAAAGCUGCAGCACCUGAUGCAACGGCCGCGAAAGCAUUCGCAACAACCUCGGUUGCAACCGUGGAGGCAUUCCGCAAGGUUCCGAGAAUGAGCUCCUCCAUAACUGUGGCGCUCCACAUUGUCAACUUCACCAGUUUCCAUCGUAGCUUCUUCUGCAAAGUAAAUCAUUGAUAUAAUCAUUAUAUACUACCACAAAUUUGACCUUUAUUGAUAACUAAAAAUAUUAUCAAUGAAGCAGUGUCAACAAAACUUUUGACAUCAACAAAAAUAAUUUUGUUAUCGGCAAAAAUCAACGUCAAAUACAAAUAGUUUCUGUUGAUGUUUAUUGUCCAUCAACUAAUUAAAAAACCUACAUUGAUUUUAAGCUGUAAUUAAAAAUUUCAUUGGCGGUUUGUUUGUCAUAAACCUCAACUAAAUAAAAAAAUUAUUUGUCAUAAGCCCAAGCUGUGGUAUAGUACAUAACACUAAUUGAAGGAAUUAAAAGUAGCGAGUAUACAUCGCAUUGCAGGUUUAAAAAAUGAAACUCACUCAAUUUCGCAUCCCUUGCUGUAACAGUUAUCGCCUCCGAGGAAAAGAGGACGACGGCAAAAAGAAGACCGAGCAAGAUGAAGGACUUGGAACUCAUUCUCUCUCUAUUGAUUAGAGAUAUGAUCAAUUUAAUUUGGAGGUGAUGGGGUGAGAAAGUAUUGUAGGAUUGCAAUUGUAUUUAUAGUAGUGAUGACAUAAAAUUCAUGUCAAGGUGGGACAUCCUUAGUCCCAAUUUUCAAAGGUAGAUAAGUUUUUGUGGAAUAAUUAUAAUGAGCUUAUCUUUAUAAGAAAAGUAGAACAAAGGUUUCUUACCGUGGAGUCUGUUCAAUGGACAGGCACGUCAAAGUAAUAGACUCAGAUUAGAUAAUGUUAAAAAUGUUAAUUGUACAAUUUAACAUUGUUGGGUUCCAUCAACUUUAGUUAUUUCUUUAGGUUAUACAUUCGUAGAAAUCUUUUUGUAUUAAAAUAACAUCAUUUAAUCACAGUUUGGAGGGGCUAAAAAAUAAGUAUAUCAACGGUAGACUCCUGUUCACUAAUAUAUGUACCUGAUCUAUAUUCUCAAGUGUCUAAUAUAUGUACCUGAUCUAUAUUCUCAAGUGUUUUUUAUAUAUAUAUCUAGUUUUUGUAAAUAUUUUUGUUUAUUUUGUUAUAUAUUUGAAAAUGUUAAGCGGAUUUCUUCACCUAUUUUUAGAUAAAAGAAUUUAUUGAAUCACACGCCAAGAUCUAGUCUUAAAACAAUUUAGUUAAAAAUUUCUGAAAUAAAUAAAUAAACGAACGAAAAUAAGAAGUUAAAAGAAAGUUAGGAAAUGAACAACCAAGUAAUAUAAACAUAUAGCGAUCAGGACAGAGAAUAUUUAUUCUAAUAUUACAAAACGGUGUCAUUAGGUUCGAAAGAUGUGUUUUUCAAUCUAAAACAAAAUGGUUAGAAAUUUCAAGUCUUCUUUCUGUGUUAAGGGCAAAUUAAAGAGAAAAAUAAUCUUUGAUCAUAUUAACAAAUAAUUGAAAGAAUAAUGUAUAGUACAUAUGCAUGAUCCAUUAUGUUGCAUGCAUUUCUUAAAUGAAUAAAUAGAAUUUUGAAAUGUAAAAAAAUGAUGAGAGAUCAGACAAAGAUAUAUCCAACUCUUCAAAAAAUGGUUUUGUUUUUGGAACUUCUGUUCUAUAGUUGGGAAAAAGAUCAGUCCGUGGAUGGAGAAUUAACAGGAGCAGCUUCAACACACGCACGAGGAUUUUGCUUUCCAGUAAUGAUGGGAAUCACAUUUCUACACUGAGACGUAAUCCGUCCUUGAGUUCCGAUGUAAGCGAGGUCAAUAUCUGUAACUUCCACACCUUCACACGAAAAGACUGUGCUACAAAUAAAUUUAACAGCAACGAAAGUAGCAGAAGUGCCUCUGAUAUUCUUGAAACUAACGUUGUUGAUCUUAAUUUUUGAUGGAAUCUGAACAAAUGUAUACAUAAAGAAAACCAAAAAUUAAAUCAGGUUAGUUUUGCAUUUGUUAUAUAUAAGAAAAAAUAUUCCUUAAUUGAAGUUAAUUAAUUAAUUAGUUGAAAUUUAUGAAUAAGGAAUAAUUUCAAUACAUAUACCUUUUUGUUGCAUUGAUUAGAUGGACAAUAUUCUUGGUCAAUAAUCACAGGAUUGCUAACAUUAACCAUUUCAAUAUCUUCAAAAUGCAAGUCAGAGGCUGUGUAUGCAACUGCACAAUCUGGCCAUGUCUUGAUUCUAACACCAUUUGAAGUAUUGAUAAGUUUACAUGAUUUCACUGUAACUCCUGCCACCUCUUUCUCCUUGGUGUACUUGCCUAAACUUCCUAUACUUAUGCCAUGACCUGGUCCGCAAGUUACAUUAGUAAUAGUUAUUUGCUUGUUGCUGUCUCCAACAGAUAUACAAUCAUCUCCGGUUGAGAUACGUGUAUUGAAAAUGUUAAUCACUUCUGAACUGCUCACAUGAAUUCCAUCGGUGUUGGGACUAUUCUCUGGUGCAAUAAUUGUCACAUUUUGAAAAGUAACAUUCUUGCAACCCAAAAGAUUGAAGUGAAAAUUCUUACUAUCCAACGAAGUUAUGUCCUUCACCAUUGAAUUGGUUACGAAACUGAACUUCACAUUCUUACAAAUUUAACCCCGGCCCGCCCCACAAAAAGAAAAGGUAUCCGAGUUAAAAACAAUGCAUUAUGUUAAUCGACAAAAUUAUAUAAUCAACGAGAUUAAAAAGAAAGAAGCUAAUACAAUUAGAGAAUUAAUUUACCAUAGGAAGUUUAGUGCAUAUUUUCUUCAGGUGACAAUCAUUCUUUUCCCAACCUUUUUCUCCUUGACCAUCAAAAGCACCUGUGCCUGACAAUGUCAAUUGAUCGAUAUAUUGAAAAAGAACCAACCCAUCUCCUAUUGGAUCUGGAUGAGCUUGUAAUGUUCCUUCCAUCCGAACCUCAAUAGUACUUUUGCAAGGACCAUGGAGAAUGGAUUGGUUUAGAUGGUAAACUCCCAUUGGAAUCAACAAUUUACUAGAAUAGGUCGAUGCACAUGCAUCCUUCCAUGCAUUUGCCAAAGCCUAUAAAUUGUGAAUCAUUUGAUUAAACAAAAAAAAAAAUACAUAAAGUACGAAAUUUAUCAAGUUAAUAUAUAUUUACCUGAGUAAUAUCAGUAUUAGGUUUGGCACCAUAUGUAGUGAUAUCAAAAAUGGAUUGACCUUUUGCAGUUGAUGCCAACAUUAACAACAAAUGUAAUAGUAAUGUCAUAAUGUUUGACCUCAAUCCCAUCAUUUUUAUUUAUUGCCUUCUGCUUUUUGCUUAUGAUCUUCUCUUUAUUCUAAUUGUUAAUUAACUAUGAAAAUGGAAUGAAUGAUUCAAAUAUAUGUGCAGUCAUUCAACCCUUCUUUAUACUUUCCAAAAAAAUUUGGUUGCUAAAUUUGAAAAUGAUCGUUGAAAUAUUGAAGUUAAACCAUUAGCUGUGUGUCAUAAAAUUAGCCAUUUCAUGACAAUUGGAAUUUAUUAAUCAUUCCCUCAAUUCAAUCAAAUUUCUGUUCGAGAACAACUCAAAAAAGGAAGAAUUGAGAAUUUUGGUGAAAAAAGUAUUAGAAAUUUUCACUUUAUUUUUCUCAUUCAUAACUCCUAAUAAGUAGAUAGGUCCACAUGUUUCAUGUUACGUAGAUAUAUUUAUUUCAAUGCUUAUUAAAUUUUGAUGGUGAAAUUCAAACUUUUAAUUAAAUUAAUCAUUCAGUUAUAUUUAUUUACUAUAAAUUGAGUGCGAGGAUUUGAACUAAGUUUUCUUAGUUCUCAAAUAUUUAUGAGUGUUAAUAUUCAUAAGUGUGGAUUGAGGUAAGCAUAUGCUAAAUGAAGUUUAAAAUAUUACUUUUCUGUACAUGUGGUAAUAAAAUAAUAAUAAAAUAUCACCAAAAGUAAAUAAAUAUCUAAUCGAGAUCGAUAUAUUAUUGAUACUUUUAUUGACAUACUCAUAAGAUUGAGAAAUACCAGCAUCUUCAUUUACAUUGACAUCUAUGUGACUAGUCAAUUUUAACAAGAACUUUUAAAAUAUAAACAAAAUUAUAUCAUAAAACUAAAUGAAAAAAUUUUGUUUUAAAUGACAAAAUGGUUAAAUAUAUAAUAUUUAUAAAUAUAGCAAAAUUUUACUUUUAAUUUAUGAUAAGUAGAUGUAAACGUAGAUGGUAGACAUCUCUCUAUUGCUGUAGUCUCUAUUGCAUUUCUAUUAAAGUUAUGGAAAUAAAACCGUAAUUACACUAAAUCAAAAUAUGAUGGUAGAUAUUAUAAAAAUCUGAUAAAAAGCAGAUCUUUGCAAUAACAUACUAAAACCCAAACAUGGGGAAAAGAAAAACUACAGAAGCCACUCCUUCCAUUCCCCAUGAAUUUAUUUCUCAAACUUCCACACUUCACACAUUUCAUCAAACACAAACUUUUUACUUUUUUUAUUAUUUCAUCCCAUAUUCCACACCUUGUCUUAUGGUUUUGCACCCUCUACUACUUCACCAGCGUACCUGCAGCACCUGUACACGCAUGGACCAUAUGUGCAACCUCUGCCGUAGCCACCACUAUAGCCACCAAGACCGAAGUCAUCACGACCAUAGCCACCACGAUGCUAACCACCACCACCGCUGUAGAUUUUGUCGUUCCGUCCUCCAUACUUAGCAUCCUCUACGCCAUUGGUUUCCACUGUGGCCUCUGCAAUGAAGGCGAGAAGAAGGCCGAGGAAAACAAAGGCUUUUGAACUCAUGUUUGUGUUUAAUAAGAGAUUGCUUUUGGGAGAUAUGGAUGAGAAAGAUUUGAAUUCUUAUGGUAUUUAUUGGUACAUAAAAGAGAAAGGGAGAUGAGAAUAUUGAGACAAUUGCAAUUAAAGACUGGCCCGUAAUUUAGUUGGGCAUUAGAUGAACUGAUUGAGAAGUAUUCUGAAAUGAAGAAGGAAAUUAAAAUUUGAGUCAGCUCUCUUAAAUAAUCUUUAUCGUUUAAAUGAUUUGUAAUUAGUCAAACUCUUUAGUAGUGUGACUGUAUCAAACUCCAAGAGCUUCUUUUAGCCAAUUAUCAAUAAUAAUAAUAAAUAUAAUUCUGGAAAAACAAUUUCUAGCAUGCUUUCAUUUUCUAUUCCUAAACUUGGUAAACAAAAUUCUUUGUCUUAAAAAUUAAAACUAAUAUUUUCAUAAAUUAUUUAGCAAAGUUGUUGGAAUAUGGACUGGUUUAUGAUUGUACCAAACAGCAAAAACAAGUUACAAACUACGAACCCAACUAUAUCGUUUAGAAACUGAGAGACCCACGUGGCGGAUGUUGCCUCACCCAAAAGCCACCGGAAAUUGCCUUCACUGGAGACCCACAUGUCGAACAACCAACUGCAAACCCCAAGAACAACCACGGCUGAAACAACCUCUCUGAUGGCUCGAACCCACUGCUAAACCAGCCGCCACACCGCGCGAAAUCCGCCGGUAGAACAUGGAAACUCGCCGACGUUAAAGCUCAGUCAGACGCCGUACUGCCCGAAAAACGAGACCGAAACGCGGAUGCUAAAGCUCUCUCCUCACCGGAAAACGCCCGACCCGACGAAGAACCUCAGAAUCUCCGUCGCGUGGCCGUCCGGUAAACGCCAUCAACGUCAACCCGUUCACCGUCGGCCCCUGCUCUUCUCUCUACUGUGUUUGUAGAAGAAACUUCAACUUUCCUCUCUCUCUAUUCUUGUGUAUUGCGGCAACCCCUCACCUCUCUCCUUUUCUUUUCACUGUAUUAAAAAUGGCAAGUGAUGUGAAUAAUUGCAAAAAUGUGUUCUUGUUAUUCCGCCAUCAACAAAACUAAAAAAACUUUGUUUAUUAAGAAAAUAAAUAAUCCACGUUGUUUAUUUCUUACAUUCUUUCAUAUUUCUUUAAUAAAAUAAGAGAACUUUUCUUUAUGUAUCACGGUGAAGAUAGAUAUUGUAUUAAGAAAAAUAUAUUUCUUAAUGAUCAUUUAUCAUGACCAUCAAGAAAUUAAAAAAUUGUGUUCCAAACCCUACAUCUCUCUUAAUGCAUCCUCUUUCACAAAUACUUCCGUUCCAAAAUAAUUACAGUCUGAGAAAAGUUUAGAGAGUAAAAACAAUUUCUCUCUCAAACAUUAAACCAAUAUAUAUAAAUGAUCCAUACAUAUAUAUAUGUGGAAAGUUCAAUAUGAAAUAUGUUAACAGUAUUGGUAAAAAUACUAUAUAUGGAUGGUCGUAAAAGAAAUACGUACUUUUUAAAAGUUGAACUUCCUCUUCAUCUCUGAUUGGAGAUAUUUGUUGAAAACUCCAAUAACACCUCAAAAUAAUAAUAGUAAUAAUUAUUACUAUUAUUAUUAUUACUAUUAUUGCGUAGGAUAGAACACCAUGAAAUGUUGAUAAAUUUAUUUAAUUGUGUCCUUGUCACUUGUCAGUACCACCAUAAACUUUAGAUAAUGCAGGCUGAGCAAACAUUUUUUUACUUUCUUUUCUCAUUUGUAUGCAAAAUAUAUUGCCACCAUAUAUCGUUUUGACUAAAGACGAAAGAAAGCGUGUAUACCUUAACUAUUAAAAUUUAUGUUCAAGUUAUGGAAAUAAAACCCUUAAUUACACAAAAUGAAAAUAUGUUUGUUGAUAUUAUAAAAUUUUACAAAAACCAAAUCUUUGCAAUAACAUACUAAAACCCAAACAUGGGGAAAAAGAAAAACUACAGAACCCACUCCUUCCAUUCCCCAUCUAUUUAUUUCUCAAACUUCUACCGUUCACACAUUUAACCAAACACACAAACUUUAAACCUUUUUAUUAUUUCAUCCCAUUCUACACCUUCUCUUAGGGUUUUGCACCCUCUACCACUUCACCAGCGUAGCUGCAGCACUUGUGCCCACAUCGACCAUAUCGGCAACCUCUGCCGUAGCCACCACGGCCACCACCAUAGCCUCCACGGCCACCGUAAUGACCACGACCAUACCCACCACGACCACCGCCAUAGCCUCUGUCGUACCCACCGCCAUAGCCUCUGUCGUACCCUCCACCAUAGCCUCUGUCGUACCCUCCACCAUAGCCUCUGUCGUACCCACCUCUUCCAUACUUGGCAUCCUCUACGCCAUUGGUUUCCACUGUGACCUCUGCAAUGUUAUAUUUAAAAUUAAUCCUUAACUUUACGAAAAUGUUAUAUAAAAUCAAAAUCUGUAUAUAAAGAUGUUAAAUAAUGAGUAUAUAUAUUUUACAUGAGUUUUUUCUUAAUAUUCGUGUCUGUUCGGAGUUAGUUUAUGUGUACCUAAACUAAGUUUACCGAACAAAUUUGGAUGUGAAAGGAACAAGCACAAAGAAUAUUAAAUCAUCAAUAGAAGACUACUAUGCAUUCAACUUCUUAGAUGACUUAAAAUUUAUUAUAACAUAAAACUCACCGUUGUCAGUCUUGGAGGAGGUCUCCGCAAGGUCCCUUGCAGCCACUUCAGAGGAGAGGAGAAGAACGAAGGCGAGAAGAAGGCCAAGGAAAACAAAGGCUUUGGAACUCAUAUUUGUGUGUAUUGUAAGAGAUUGGUUUUGGGGGAGAGGGAUGAGAAAGAUUUGCAUUCUUAUGGAGGUAUUUAUAGGUCCAUAAAAGGGAAAGUGAGAUGAGAAUUGAGACAAUGGCAAUGGCAAUUAAAGACUGGCCCAUAAUUUGGUUGGGUGUUAGAUGAACUGAUUGAGAAGUAUUUUGAAAUGAAGAAGAAAAUUUGAGUCAGCUCUCUUCAAAAAUCUUUAUCUUUUAAAUGAUUUGUAAUCAGUCAAACUCUUUAGUAGUGUGACUGUAUCAAACUCCAAGAGCUUCUUCUAUCCAAUUAUCAAUAAUAAUAAUAUAAUUAUGGAAAAACAAUUUGUAGCAUGCUUUCAUUUUCUAUUUCCUAAACUUGGUAAACAAAGUUAUUUGUCUUAAAAAUUAAAACUAAUAUUUUUCAUAAAUUACUUACCAAAAUCUAUCAAGUAAAUACUGUAGGUUAGUUAUUUAGGGUUCAUUUUUUUCACCUUGUGUUUUUUCUUAAAAAAAUUGAUGUUUAAUUAGAUUUUUUUUUCUAUUAAUGAUUGAUUUGUUUUGGUAUAUCAUUUUCGAUCCAAUAUAACAAAAUGAACAAAAUAUGUGACAUUUUUUAAAAUAAAAAAUAAAUUAAAAUAUUUACAAAGUAUAACAAAAUUUUAAAUUCUAUCAAUGAUAGAAACUGAUAUGCUACUAUCACUGUCUAUCCAUCUCACUAAUAGAAACAUGUUAAUGUCUAUCAAUGUCUAUUAUUGAUAAAAUAUGAAAAUCGUACUAUUUGUUGUAAAUAUUUUGUCAAAUUUACUAUUUUUUACCAUUCUCUCUUAAAAAAAUAUUUAUAAAUACAGUAAAUUUCAAAAUCUAUCAAAGAAAUUGGUAGAAAUAUUUAUAUAGUAUAUGUGAUAUAAAUAAACACUAAUAUGAUUGAAGUUUUUUGUGUCUACUAAUAUCUAUAUUUUUUAUAUUUCUAAAUUUGGCUAUAUUUAUAAAUAUUUUCAAGAAUUUUAGUUUAUACAUUUUCAAAUGGUUUAUCUUAUAUAAAAUUUGAAUAGACAAACAUAAAAUAAAGCACAGCACAAUAAAGAAAACGUUAUUGAAUAGCUUCCACUGAACCCAAUUUGCAAAUAUCAUUGAUAUUUGUAAUAUUCUUUUAAUGCUAUGUUUUCUUACAAGAUAACGAGAGGAUAUUUUUAUAUUUAUGUGAAACUCAUCAACUUAUAUGAAAAUGUCAAAACAACAUUUAUUUAUUUCAUACUCUUCAACUUGGUGUCUGUCAUUCUUUAAAUAGAAUUUUCAAAGCUCAUAAAAAUCUCUCGAAAUUUGAGAAGAUAUCAACGCCCUUACGGAUCAUUGGACAAGCAUAUCUCCUCUCUUCAAAAAUUAUUUUGAUAGCUCUAUUGCUCUAAGUAUUUAUGCUUUUGUUUAAUUGUACUGACUUUGGGUCUUUCUUGGACUUUCCUCUAACCCUUGCUUUUGUUUUCCCUUCUUUCCAUAUUAUCUAUUAUAUAUUAAUGAAGCAUGAAUGAUGAUGAUGCUACGAAGGUACUGUUCACAUAGUGGAGAUGAUGAGAUGUCUUAGUGCAUCUAUUGACCUAUCUCGUAUCUUUUUUAAAAAAAAAAAAACAUUUAUAUAUUUCGUAUACUAUAAUUUUGCAAUAAAUUUAAGAGACCUUUAUAAAACUAACUCCCAAACUAUGCGGGGUAGUGAUAGUUGUGAAACCUAUUUCUAAUUUGAGUAUAGAAAGUAAAAUUUGGUUAAGUAUUUUGAAAAUUUGUAUUUUGGAUAAGAGGAGACAUUUUGAAAUAAGACUUUGCGAUAAGAAGUAUGUGUUUGAAUCAAUCCACAGAAAUGAUUAAGUGAUAAAAUCUUUUAUGGUUAAGUAUAAGUUUUGUUAUUAAGAAGUUAAUUCACGAGGGAGUUUUGAGAAAAGAAUGAUUUGCAAUAGGACCUAUAAACACUUUCAAUAGAAAGAGUCUUCACGAGAAAAUGUUGAAGUUAUUCGUAGAAUGGAAAUAGGCGAGAAGUAAGGUCUGGCAAAGAAAACGUCUAUCUGAUUUGACAGGGGUUAAUGUGUAAGAUUAAAGGUUUAAGCAUGACUGAGUUAAAUAUUAAAUUUACAUGUGUAAAGUUUUAAUCAGGAACCAGCGAACUUAAAAGAGUUUAAGCAUGACUAAGUUAGUUUAAGAGCUAUGUAAAUAAAGGACCUAGUCAUUAAGUAAGCACAUAGAUUUUAUUAAAAAAAAAUUACUAAAAUGUUGUUGUUUUGCUUGACGAGAAAAAGAAAAAAAAAAACAAAGUGUUAAGUGCUACGAUGUGUUUCACAAGAAGGCUCCACAAAAGAAAAGGAAGAGAAGGAUUUUUGAUAAAGUGUGGGAAUGUUUUCUCUUAAAUGAAUUAAUUAUGUUAAAAAAUUUAUUAUAAUUUCUCUUUACUUAUUUAAAAGAAGAAUUCCAAUGAUAAGUGUUUCAAAUGAAAUUUAUAUCAAAAGUCUAUAUGUUUUCAAGUAUGAUUUAUAAUGUUAAAGUUGUUUUCUUGAGAUGAUGCUAACUUUUAUGUGCACAUAAAGAGUCAAGGUUACUAUGGGGUGUACAAGGCUACAUGGUGAUAAGAAGCUGGUUUAUGCUUUGAAAUGAGCGUAUAAAGCUUAGUUGGCCUGAGCAACAAGGACAAUCUGUAUGUUUUCGGAUGUUGUUGAUACAACAGUCUAAAUGUAGGGUAAUGAGACCAAACGUAGAAAACGAUUCGAGAUCCUUGAUGAAAAGUAUAAUUGACUAAUGGGUGUUAUUGUGAAAUGAAUCUUGAUGUGAUUCACAAGUUGAACUAAUUUUAUUGUAAAAAUGAUUAUAUACGUUUUGAUAUGUUUUGCCAAAUGAAGUGUUUAUUGAUAAACUGAUUUGUGUUGAAAUUUAUGAUUUGACGAAAAACAUUUUCAAAGAGCAUUGCAAAAAGGAUUUCAUUAAAACCUCACUAAAUCUUUUAAACUUGCAUUUUAAAUUUUAUCUUCCAAGAUUUAGCAUUUAGGCCAAUUAAAGAAGAAGGUUGAAGGGCUUGCGGCAAGUUGAGAAAGCCACGAGGCGUUAAAGAGCUUUGAUCGAUAAAUGUUAAUUAUUUGAUCAAAAUGUUGUAAUUGUUUGUUCAUACCAAACGCCUGUUAUUAAUAUAUUAAAGUGUGUGUUUCAGGUUAUGUUACUUAUUGUACUUGGCAUUUAAAGUUGAUUUUCGCUACGUUUUGAGUUUCACUUCAUAGUUUGAAAGGAGUUGAGAAUAAGCUAGGCAGUAAGACUAAUUGUAAAGUUUAAUUAAAGUUAAAUCUUGUAAAGUUUAAAGUUAAAUCAUGUAAAGUUUAAAGUUAAAUCACGUCCUAUCCGCACAACUUCCUGCAAUUUUGUUGUCGGAACAGAGUGUGACAAUAGCGAUGCACCUAAACUAAAUUUACUAUUUUGGUUGUUACAGUGGUCGAUAUGAAUAUAGAUCAAUGGAAAGAAGAAUAUCAACAUCCUCUCUAAAACUUAAAUAUAUUAAUCUAAAAUUUUCAUUUUUAUGUUAAAUUGAGAAGAAGAAGAAAAAAAAAAGAAACGAAAGCAAAAGUAUUAGGUAAUAAAAAUAUUUUGAAGAUGAAAAAAAUUUGAAGUACUCUUGAAAGCAUGAAUAAAUAAAAUUUGGUUCCACUUGUAUUGUUGAAUAUCCUCUUGUUCCUUUCCAACCAAAUGUUCCAGAUAACCCCAUCAACAGACUGUAAUUGUUGAUUUCAUAACACACAAACUUGAAAUCAACAAUUAAGUAAUAGAAGACCGUAAAGAUCGACACACAGAUAAAACAUGGUUCACUAACAGUGUAUUAGCAACUACAUCCACAAACAAAGGAAGAAAAAAUAUGGUUAGGAGAGAGUGUUUUCUAAUACAAAUGUAGCUGGAUAGAGUGCAUCCAAUGAAAUUCUCAUUGUUUUGGUUGCAGACCGAGCACGCCAACUUGGAUUAAGGCAGUGAUUUGGGAGGCUAUUUAGCAGAAUAAUCUCCACAGUGUUUCCCGGGUAGAAUUUAGCAUAAGAAAAAAUUUCACUUCUUAAUUAGAAUGGGAGAUUUUUACAAAUUAUUAAAGAUUGUCAGGACUAAGAUUUUCUAUCUUUGGAAGAUCAUUUCCUCUUUCCUCGUUAGGCUUAGGGAAAGAUGCUUUGACAUUAUCCCAUAUGCUAAUGUCCCUAUCCCGGAGGGGUCCUCUAGGCUUAAUAUCCCAACCAAUCUUUAAUCGAGCUAUUUGCGCCAAGGGAUGAAGCAAAAAGCUUGGGGAAGCCAAAGGAGAGAGGACCGUGUUGGUUCAAUUUUUUAUGCCAAAAAAGAAAGAGAAAGAAGAGAGCAAGAUGAUUAUACUAAAAAAGAAUUGCCACAGUUUCUAUUUUAAUUAUUAUCCCUGCAUAACUCUUUCACAUAUAUAUUUAUAUCCAUAGGUUGUACACAAGUGAAACUAUCCUCAAAUUUAUAUGCUAUUUAUAUAAUAUAUAUAUAUAAAACUAUAAUAGUAUACUAUAGUCAUGUAGUUCAAACUUCGUUUAUUACCUUUUUAUUUUAAAAAUAUUUUAUUAAUAGUAAAGUUCCUGUGAACAUAAAUUUCUCCAUCAUCUGCUCCUACUUGUAUAUAUCAUCUUUAAUUAAUUAUCAUUUAGUGUCCACAUGUACAGUUUAAUUCCCAAAUAGUGUUCAACAAAACGAAGUAUUAGAAAUUUUCACUUUAUUUUUCUCAUUCAUAACUCCUAAUAAGUAGAUAGGUCCACAUGUUUCAUGUUACAUCUAUUUAUUUUAAUGCGUAUUAAUUUUUGGUGGUGAAAUUCAAACUUUUAAUUAAAUUAAUUAUCUCAGUCAUGUUUAUUUACUAUAAAUAUCACUAUAAAGAUCAAUUGAGCUAAGCAUGCUUAAUAAAGUUUAAAAAAUUACUCUUCUAUACACGUGUGGCAAUAAAGAUAACAAAAUAUCACUAAAUGUAAAUAAAUGUUUGGCAAGUUUUAUUAUUUUUAUAACUUCUUUAGAAAUAUUCAAUCGAUAUGGAUAUGAUAUUGAUUUUUGUUUUAUAAAUUCGUGAAAUUGAGAAAUAUAAGCAUUUUCAUCAACAUUCGCAUCCUAGACAUUACUCCUAUAUGACUAAUGAAUUUGAACUAGCGAAACUAAUUCAUAAAACUAAAUGAACAAAUUUUAAAAAAUUUUAUUUAAAAUAACAAAUAUGAUAGAACGUAUAAUAUUUACAAAUGUAACGACAAAAUUUUACUUUCAGAUCGUGAAGGUUGUGGUAAACCUGAUAGACAUCAUAUAUUAUUUUAGGCGUUAUAUUGUAUUGAUAAUAAAAGUAAAAUUUUAUUCUAUUUAUAAAUAUUUAUAAUAAUUUUUUAUAUUCAAAACAAUUCAAAAAAUUAAGUUGGCCUAAAAUUUCUAUUUUCAAUAUUUAUGGCCAUAACAGUUAUUUAAGUGAUCGGACUCCAUGAGUUCGUAAAAUUUAAAUGAGUUAGGCAAACAAGUAUUAAUUUGUAAUUUAUUUCUUUUUCUUAAUUGCAUUUUCUUGUUUUUGACAUGUUUAUUUAUUUUUAAUCUAAGUUGAAUGAUAUGGUAUUAAAUUUGUCUUUCAUCCGUUAAUUUUUCUUCUUUUCUUAACAUACCUUCCAGUUAUUGUCGCUCCAAUCAUCCUCAUCUUUGUCUCCGUCCCUAGGCCCAGGCAUCUCCCUCAAUGCAUCCUCUAUCACAAAUAGGUUCCAAAAUAAUUACAGUCUAAGAAAAGUUCAUAGAGUAACAACAAUUUCUCUCUCAAACAUUAAACCAAUAUAUAUAUAUAUAUAUAUAUACUAGAAAGAACACGUGUUUUGUACGUGAAAAGUGUAAUUUUAAAUCUUAAAUUUAAUUUUAGUGUCACAAGUUAAAAACUAAUUAUAAACAAUAUCUUUAGUUUAUAUAUAUAUAUAUGCUAUUAUUAAAUUCAAAUCUACCAAUAAUAAGGUGACCAGAUUGGACAAUUAGAUCUUAACCAGAGAAUAUAAAGGACCUAUAUAACAAUAUAAGUUUAUGAAAUAUACAACUAUAUAACUACAAAAUAUUAUAUAAACAAGGAGAGAAAAUUAGUGAGCAACCAUAAUAUAACAUGUACUUUUUUUUCAUUGAAAAUAAAUUAAAAAAUAAGAAAAUAAAAAGAGAUCAAAUGAUGGAUAAAGAAGUCUCUCCAAUCCAAAAUAUAAUGCUAAAAGACGACCAAAAUUUAAUUAAUAGAUUAUAGAUACAUAAAUGAAAUAAAAUUAUAGUGCAUAGUAAGUAUUGUAGAAAUAUUGCUUAUUCGAGACAUAGUUGACAUCGUUGGAGGCCUCCUUGGAUUCUCUAUACAUUUGUUGAAAAACACAGAAAUUCUCCUUGUUUUACACCAAAUAAUUAUUCUCCUAUACGUGGAUUUAUUUGAUUGCUCACAAUUUCAUUAGAUUUUAUUUUAUAUAAAAAUACACAGAAAGAAAAUGAUUGGGAACGUGAACAUGAGUCACAAAGAAGAUGAGAGAGAAUGUGUGAGUGAUAGAAGGGAAGAAGAAAAUUUUAUAUAGCUUUAAAAUUGAGCUAAUGAAUAAUAAUAAUAAUAAUAAUAAUAAUAACAACAACGACAAUUAUUAUUACUAUUAUUGCAUAGAAUAGGAGAGACCAUGAAAUAUAGAUAAAUUUAUUUAGUUGUGGUUGCCAUUUUGAGUACCACCGUAAACUUUGGAUAUUGCAGGCAAGGUGGUUAAUAGAAUUAAGAUUUUAUUAUAUGUAGGUAAAUAUUUUCACCGAUUUUAAUAUUUAGAUGUUUUCUUUUAUUAUUAUUAUUAUUUAGUAUGAGUGAUCAUGUGAGUUUUUUUCUUUCUUUCUUUUUUCUAACGAAAUAUAUUGAAGAUUUUAACUAAAGAUGAAAGAAUGUGUGUAUACUAAAAAUAAGUGAGACGAUCAAUAAUAUCUGAAAGUAAUUAACUGAGAGAAUAGCUAAAGAAACAGACAAAACAAAUAAUACAGAAGACUUUGUUAGCCUAAUUUGACGAAUACCACCUAUAUCUGGAAGCUUCUUAGCUCAUAUAAGAAAUAUUAUUAUAUAAGAUUUAAAUGAGCAAGGAAAACACUUUUAAGUUAUUACAAAAACUUAAUUAAAGACCGACUUUCAUUGAAUUUGUGUUUGAAUCUUUUUGAAGAUAAACUCAAACUCCCUUGAAUUCAUUCACCACAGUUCAACUAUUUCAGUCUUCUUUCAUAUUUCUUAUCAACAGGUGCAGCGUAAAAACCACUUGCAGAACUUCAAUAAUAUUCCAUCUUCAUAUAAAGAAUGCAAUUCGACAACCUUCACAAACAAUAAUUUGAUCUUCGAAAGAGAACUUCUUUGAAAUCAAUUUUCUAUCAAUUUGCACGUCGAACUAAGCCAAUAUAGUUUAAUUAUUUAAAGAUCGAUAUAAUAUAUUUCCGGUAACUUCUUUAUGGAGAGAUAUAGAUAAAAGAUUCAUGUUAGGAAAGAAAAAUAUUUUAUCUUUAAAUAAUAUCCUAAUCUUUAAAUAAGGAAGUUAAUAAUAAAAAGAAAUUUAUUGGUGUUGUUGACAAAAAUAUCAACAUAUACGUUAACUAUUAAAAUUUAUGUUCAAGUUAUGGAAAUAAAAGCGUUAAUUACAGGAAAUGAAAAUAUGUUUGGUGAUAUUAUAAAAUUAAAAUUUGCAAAAGCAAAUGUUUGAAAUAACAUACUAAAACAAACCCAAACAUGGGGAAAAGAAAAACUACAGAACCCACUCCUUCCAUUCCCCAUCUAUUUAUUUCUCAAACUUCUACCGUUCACACAUUUAACCAAACACACAAACUUUAAACCUUUUUAUUAUUUCAUCCCAUUCUACACCUUCUCUUAGGGUUUUGCACCCUCUACCACUUCACCAGCGUAGCUGCAGCACUUGUGCCCACAUCGACCAUAUCGGCAACCUCUGCCGUAGCCACCACGGCCACCACCAUAGCCUCCACGGCCACCGUAAUGACCACGACCAUACCCACCACGACCACCGCCAUAGCCUCUGUCGUGCCCUCCGCCAUAGCCUCUGUCAUACCCUCCUCUUCCAUACUUGGCAUCCUCUACGCCAUUGGUUUCCACCGUGGCCUCUGCAAUGUUAUCUUUAAAAUUAAUCCAUAACUUUAUGAAAAUGUUAUAUAAAUUCAAAAUCUGUAUGUAAAAAAGUUUAAUAAUGAGUAUGUAUAUUUUAUACAUUUUACAUGAGUAUUUUUUUAAUAUUUGUGAACAUUCAAUUCAGGUUAGCUUAUUUGCCUCUAAACUAAGUAAACUGAACAACUUGGUUAGCUCUGUAAUCAUUAUCAGGAACAAGGACAAAGAAUAUUAAACUCUAAAUAGGUGACUACCAUGAAUUAAAACUUUUUGAAUAACUUAAAAAAUUUAUUAUAACAUAGAACUCACCGUUGUCCGUCUUGGAGGAGGUCUCCGCAAGGUCUCUUGCGGCCACCUCAGACGAUAGGAGAAGAACAAAGGCGAGAAGAAGGCCGAGAAAAACAAAGGCUUUGGAACUCAUAUUUGUGUGUAUAGUAAGAGAUUGAUUUUGGGAGAGAGGGAUGAGAAAGAUUUGCAUUCUUAUAGAGGUAUUUAUAGGCGUACAAAAGAGAAAGAGAGAUGAGAAUUGAGACAAUUGCAAUUAAAGACUGGCCCAUAAUUUGGUUGGGUGUUAGAUGAACUGAUUGAGAAGU
rnacentral:lncRNA from 1 species